CCGCCAACAGCCUUCUUCUUCUUCGACUUCAUCUUCUUCUUAACCGGGGUCGGGCGGGAAGCGGAGCAGCAGGCAGGGCAUCUGGGGACACGUGCCUAGAAGGCCCGUCGUCCCGGCACCAGUCCGCACCCGUCGCCCGAGAGGAGCGCCAGUCAGCCCGACGUCCAUCAUCACCGCGCCGCAUUGGCGGCCCGCCCCACCGCUCCCCCGGGCGGUGGUCCUGGCGAUCACGGGGCGGCCCGCCCCACCGCUCCCCAGGAAGGCGCCGCGGGGCGGUGAGCGAGGUCCCGAGCCGGGGGGUAGCGGGGCGCUGGCUCCUCACACGGCUGAGAUGCCGGAGUGGGGCGAGCAACCAACUCUGCACACAGAGUCGCUUCCCGGUCCAGGUCGGCCGCGCGGGCGGCCUCCAGGCGGCGACGGUCCCCCGGCGAACCCGGCAACGGCAGGCGGGGAUCCCUCUCCGGAUCACGAGGGGGAGGCGGACGGCGAAGGGAGGUCCCGGAGUAGUACUCCGGGGACUUCCCCGGCCGGGCAGACCCACCGCGCCCGGAACGGGACGAGGCAGCACCCCCUUCCAUGGCACGGUCACGGGCGGCGGGCAGCGCCUUCAACACCGCGCGAGCCUGGUCACGAGAGGUUGGCGUAGGGAGGAGCCCCUGCCCAGCCGGGAGAGGCCGCUUCGGUCGGGCCUGGCCGUUCCCGGCGUGGCGUGUCAUGAGCACGUCCCGGUAGGAGCGCCGUGGGGAGGGGAUGGGGAGCAGGUCCGGGCGCCGGGCAGCAGACGAGGGCGCGUCGCCGGCAGUGCAGGCGAGGACGGACGAGGUGGAGGGAGCUCUAUGGCUGACGGGACGGGGCGAGCGGGGCCUGGGGAACGGCCGGCGGGACGGGGCGAGCAGGGCCUGGGGAACGGCGGGGACGUCCGCGCCCGACGGGAGAGAGCGAGAGGAAAGGGAGCGGGAGCCCGACCGGAGAGAGCGAGAGAAACGGGAGCGGGACGGGGCGAGGCUGCGAGGUGGCGGUGGCGCACGCUCGGCAGGGUAAACCCUAUCCCCGAGCCGGUCCUCCCGACGCAGGCCUGGGCCGGGACGCGAGCAUGGGGGAGGCCCAGGUGGGCAUCGGCCCACUGCCGGUUAACCUUCUCCAGGACUCGGGAGACGCGGCGGGAGGCCCAGGCCAUCUCGCUAGCUGAGAUGGGCCCAGGCCCCGUUCGCAGCGGCCCAUGGGGAGAGCCGGCCCAUCCGUCCGCCAGCCGGCCAGGGGAGUUAGGGCAUGGGGGAGGGGACUGACGAGGCACUCGGGCACCUCCCGCUGCCGCCGGCACCGCCGCCGCCGCCACAGGAGGCAGGGCACCAGCGCCUGGUCGGGGCUCGCGGGGGCCCUCUCCGGCGACCGCCAUGGGGGACAACCCAGGCAGCAAACCGGCUCGGGCCAAGGAGGGGAGAGGGGGAACCACAGGGGGACAGUGCACCGGCGACCGCCGCCCGACCUCCUUCCCCGGCCGCCGGCGGGCAGGGCGCGCCGCAGCCAGGAACGAGCCGAGCAGCGGCGGUGCCAGGGACACCGGCAGCUCCAACCGGUCAUCACCAUCCGAAGAGGCCUCCAUGUCAUCGGGGUCGGGAUCGUCCGUCCAGUCCGCCCAACGUCGCGGCGACCGUUGGAAGCAGAGGGAGGGCGCCCCCGGCGGGGGAAGCGGGGGCAUCGCGCUCACGCAGCACGCCGGCCGACCGCCGUCAGCGGGCACCGCGCAGCUUCAGGUCUCGGCCCGCCGGAGAGGAGCCGCCCAUCGCUUCUUCUCUUCAGGAAUCUAGUCGCCGGCCCACAAGUGGGGUGAUGAACAAGCUAAUGCGAUUUAAAGUAAUCAUACCUCGUCCUAAGAAAUUAAAAGUGAAUUCAUACUGUGCAGCUAGAAAAAGAAUCAUAAAAGUAUACAAGCGCAUGUGAAAAGAAAAAGAUGAACAACUUGCCACUUCAUAUAGGUGAUCUAAUUAACUAAUUUAGGGUUCGAAUAACUUUGUUUCCCCACAAUCAUGACAAAGUGAACCUUUUGUUGAAAGCCGGAAUUCUGCAAUAAAGCUGCAAUGGUAGAUCUAUUUUUAUCAGGGAAUCUACCAUGCUGAGCUGCUGCACACAAGGCGUUCUCACUCACGAGUCGCAAAAAAGAGUUGGUGAGUUAUUAAAAAAGAAGACAAAGAGGACGAGUGAGUUGCACCAAAAUUAAAUACUUCCUUCAUUUCAAAAUAAAUGUCUCAAUUUUAUACUACCUCUAGUAUAAGAGCAUGGUUAAUAGUAUAGUCAACUGCUGGCUAUAAGCUAUCUUAUAGCCUAUCUUAUAGCUAGCUUGUACAAUAGUUAGCUAUAAAAGAGUACUACUUUUAUUCUAUAUGGCCCACCUUUCAUUUUCACAAAGCACCUACGAGCACGUGCUAGAGCUGGCUCUUUACGAAGAGCCCGCUUCCCUUCUCACUCCUAUUCUCUCUCAUCCAACUCAGCAAAAAUACAGUAUUUUAAUCCUUACAGCCUGCUGACUGUACCUUAUUGUACUUGCUCUAAAGUUGUACUCCCUCCGUUCCAAAAUAUAAGACCUUUUAGAGAUUUAUUAGAAGACUACAUACGAAGCAAAAUGAGUGAAUCUAUACUCUAAAAUAUGUCUAUGUACAUCCGUAUGUAGUUCAUAGUGCAAUCUUUAAAAUGUCUUAUAUUUAGGAACGGAGGGAGUAUUAAGUUUGAGGCGGUUAUAUUGAGACGGAGAGAGUACUAGAUAUACGUAAUCUGAAAUAGUGGAGUACCAAAAUUAUAGGCCUCUAUGAUUAGGAGGAUUUUCAUAAAACAUUUGGAAAGUUGUGAUACUUGAGAAUUUUUCCUUUAUCGCUUAUCUGAUUCGUAGAUUGACUCCUAUAGGAUUUUCUCCUAUGGAUUCCCUUUGACUGCACAUUUCAUGAAAAAAAACAUUAGUUUGCCAUGAUAAUUUUUCACCAGGAUGCACAAAAAAUGAACUAGUUCUGAAAGGUUUAUUGGCUUCAUUUGGAUUUACUUAGAAUCAGCUCAUAUUAGCAAUAAUUAAAGAUGGCCGAACGAUGGCGCCGUCUCCCUCCCGACCCGGGGCCGCAUGCAGCCCCUCUCCCUCUGCCCCCCUCCUCCUGUCGGUGCCCUCGGAUCUGGUCCGGGUGGUGUUGGCGGUGGCGGGAUCUCCAUUACCUGUGCGCGGACGUCCUUCCCGAGGCAGGGGAUCGACGGUGGUGCGGCUCGGCCUGCUGUGGUCCGACGACCUAGAGGUGGUGGCCGGCAGCCGACGUGGUGGUGGCGCUGCUCCUUGGCGGCGGGGUGGCCUAGCGGCACGGGGUGGCCGGCUGCACGACCCCGGGCCAGAUCAGGGCCCAUAAGGCCUCAUCUAGGUCCUAGGGGACUGGCUCUGGCAUGGACUUGCUGCCUCCUGUACAGGGAUGAGGAGGGGCGGGUUGAAAGGGGGGCCGCGAUGCCGACGGUGUGCUUUCUGCAGCGCGAUGGCAGGAGCUUUAUGGGUAUUUGUGGGGCCAUGAGCCUGGUUUGCUCCUGCCGAUGUGUCCGGUCGGUUACUGUCGUUGACGAUGGAAGUCGGACCCUCCCGCAGGCCGCCGGUGUUGCUUCCCCUAGUCCCGACUCUUCUUCUUCGAUGUGCAGGCCUCACUUCUCGGUGUCCUGGUGAGACAGUGUGGGUCGCUUCAAGAUUGUGCUUGCGCAGGGCGGUGGGUGGUAUGGUGGAGUCCUCCGGAACGCCCGUGGUGAUGCGUGGGGAUCGGGACGUACAAAUCCUUGUCGGCCUGUUCGACACCGACACGGUGACGCCUGAGGGUGUCGACGGACCUUCCUGGAGGGUGUCGGGUGCUACCCUUUCUUUGUCCUCGUUGUGUAUCGGGGGAAACCCUUGGCAGCAGCGCAGUCAUCGUCGUGUCCCUUCUUGGAGGUGUUGAUUGGUAUCGGCGCUUCGAAGGCUAGGAUCUUGGUGGAAGAUCUUCGAUGGGCGCAACGAUCGCGGGGCCUCUUCAUUUUUGUCGAUCCAUCAUUGUUGGCAUCUAUUCCUUUUGCAUUUUCUUUUUCCCUUCCUUUUGGACGUGAUUGUGAUGUCUCCGUCCCAGCACUUAUUGAUGGAUAUAUCGGGCAUUUGCUAUAUUAAUAUAGCGAGGCGAACGCGUGCUUCGAAGAAAGAUGGACGAACUUACCAACCAUAUUACUUGUGCUUAUUUAUUUUCUUCUGUUACAACGCACAAACAUAUUUGCUAUUUGAACUAAAUCACAUUGCCAAUUGCUCGUCUAUCAUGUCAAAUCAGAACCACGCAUCUAACCCUCCCAAGAUGUAGAUCGAUCGGUUUUACUCGGCAUUCAUUAUGGAUCGGAGGGAGUACUCCUAGAUCAUAUUCAAAAUUGCUCCACGCCACAAAUAAAACUGCACGGUACAUAUGGUAAAUCUGGGAAAGUGAUUUGCGUGGUAUGUGUGCCAUAAUCAACUGAAUUAUUGGACUAACCGCAUCAAGAUCGGAUCACAUCGAUCCUAUCCCCGUCGACGAGACUGUCCUCGAAUCAAAAUAUUUCUCCAAUGGACGCUCGUGUCCCACGCUCUGAAAGCGACGCCUUUUGUUUUGUCAGUUAAUUUUCACGUCAAGCUCACACCCACGCACGCACCGUGUAGGAUCCACGGCUCGACGCACCUCCCCUUCCCUCCCCUUCUCCCUAUUUAACGAGCUAGCCACCCCCACGCUUUUUGCACCUCAGCAAGCACCAACACACACACACACACAAGAAAUGGCGAUGGCUAGGACGACGACGCUCCUCCUCGUCGCCGCAGCUCUCCUCGCGGCCUCAUGCAGCGCAUGGGAGGUCAACAUCCGCAUGCCGACGUCGGCGGCGGACGUGGACGAGGCGGUGGUGGCGCCGCUGAUCCACGCGCUGCGGCCGCUGCUGGGCUCCGGCAAGCACGCCGGAGUGGCGUGCGACAGCUGGGUGCUGGGGGUGGAGGCGCACAACGUGCGGGACUGGAAGACGGUGCCCGCGAGCUGCGAGGGCUACGUCGGGCACUACAUGCUCGGCAGCCAUUUCCGCCGCGACUCCAAGGUCGUCAUCGACCAGGCCCUCGCCUACGUCGACUCCCUCAAGCUCGCCGGCAACGGCAAGGAGGUCUGGGUCUUCGACAUCGACGAGACCACCCUCUCCAACCUCCCCUACUACGCCAAGCACGGCUUCGGGUACGUACUUACACUCUUGUAUACAUUACAUAGACACUACUGAUUCUACGUGUAGUGCAUGCAUUAGACUUGCUAUUUACUGCAGGUACAUCCGACCGAGCAGGGACUUGCACUCAUCUUUUCACUAAGAUGAAGUGUAAAUAAUCUGACUAGAUAUAUAUUGUAAAAAAUCAACUCACUAGCUAGCUAAAAAAUACCAGCGAGAUCUGUAAUGAAUGAAAAUUGGAAAGCACAUAAGGAUAGAAAUAUUGGAAAUAAAAAGGAAUAUAAUCACUAAGUAGAAAAGUACUUUAAUCACAAGUGUUGGACACUUGGACAUCAUCAUUGCCAGUAGGACUCGGGCCAUAUGUCCCUAGUAUGAAUGGCCAACAAAACAAGAAGGAAACAUACUAUAUUUUGAGAUAGAGAUGUGAUGUUGAUGGGCAUGCGAAUGUGGUGGCCGGGUAGGACCGUAUAUGUUGUCCACUUGGCUACUUUAUGGAAAUGUUCUAAUUAUGUUAUGCUAGUCAACUCAUACUUUCUAAUUAUGUCAUACUUUUGUACACAUACACACUAUUGUAGUGCAUUAUACUCCCUCUCUAUCUAAAUACUUAGAGUUCGAAAGAACUAGGUGCAUUUCAGCAGGGGCUUGCACUGAUCUAUUCGUUCAGAUAAAAUAAAUAUCUUACUAGACCUCGUUCAAAUGAACUCACUAGCUAGAAAGCACUAGUAUCAUAAGAUUUCUAAUGAAUGAAAGUGGGAAAACAAAUGAGACUAGAAGUGGAAACAAGGAAUAUACUCACUAGCUAGAAAAGUAUUAAUUGGACGUGUUGGACACACUUAGGCAGCAUCAUUGCUGGUUACCUCAAAUCAGUCACAGAGACGGCCAUCAGGACCAUAAAUAUGUCCCGCCUAUGAAUGGUCAACAAAACAAGAAGGAAACAUAGUACUAUAGUUUGAGAAUAUGGUGGCCGGGGUAGGACCGUAUAUGUUCUCCACUUGGCUACUUUAUGGAAACGUUUAUUUCCAGCUGUCCUUAUCAGCCGAUACGUUCUAAUUAUGUUAUGCUAAUCGAUUGAUAUUUUCUGAUUAUGUUAUGCUAAACUUAGUUCAGAUGGAUAGUACUCCGAUACGUUUUCAUUAUUUUAUGCUAAUCUGAGUUUAGAUGGAUAUAAUUACUUAUUUUAGAAGAUGUGAGAGGUCAGAACAUCUUGUGCAUAGUUAGUAGUUACAUGCUACUCCCUCCGUUCCUAAAUACAAAUCUUUUAAAAGAUUUCACUAGUGGUCUACAUAUGAAGCAAAAUGAAUGAAUUUAUACUAUAAAAUAUGUUUAUAUACAUUCAUAUGUAUUACUCUAACCUCUAAAAAGAUUUAUAUUUAAGAAUGGAUGGAGUACAACUCUAUUCCUCUUUUCUCAAAUAGUUGAACACUAUUCCUCUUAGUUAAGAAGAUUCUCUUGAACCAAGAUGGAAACUAACUUGAAAUGUAGUAGAAGUCUAGGUGAUAUCUAGCCAACAUGAUGAUACCAGUUUAGUUCAAAACAUGAUUAACUAGCUCCGGAUAGCUUGCUUGUGUAUAUUUUGAAUGUGAUGAGGGAGCUAGUUCGUUGUGAUUUAAAAUAAACUGUACCUUGCCGUAAGAACUUUAAAGUGGAUCUACACUGGGCGGCUGGAAAAAGAUACAUAAAAGUAUAUAUAUGCGCAUCAAGGAAAAAAGAAAGAUCAAAAGCUUAUAACAGCAUGUCUAACUAAUCGAGCGGUUCAAAUAACUUUGUUUCAUCACAAUCAUGACAAAAUUAACCUUUUUUGUUGAAAGUCGGAACUCUGCAAUAAGGUUGCAAUGGUAGACCUAUUUUACCAAAGGAAUCAACAAAGCUGAGCUGCUGCGUACAAAGCUGUGCACGAUGAGAUUAAAUACUACAACUGCGUUUUCGGUCCAACAAAACAGUAGCGUGAUGAUGCCGGAGUGAACCUCGCUAUGUCACAUUCAUUGAUUUACUCCACUUGACCAACUUAAUUUACGACGUCCACAACUACGUACUGCUCAUGCACGUGCGUUACGUACAGAUACAGAGCAUCAUUGCGUUUACGUAUUGCCCAUCCCCUUGGCCAUUUGGCCACUUGGGCCAUAAUCUAGGUUGCCUAUGUUCCUUGGAUAUGCAUAAUUACUACUACUUCUUAGUAGCUGAUAUGAUUGAAUCUGCCAUUAAUCUAUCCUCGUAUACAUGUGCGUGCAGGGCUACACCGUUCAACGCGACCAGCUUCAACGCAUACGUGCUACAGGGGAGCGCGCCAGCCCUGCCGGAGACGAAGCGGCUGUACAACAAGCUGCGCUCGAUCGGCGUCAAGCCGGUGUUCCUCACCGGCCGGACUGAGGACCAGAGGGCCAUCACCGUCACCAACCUCCGCCGCCAGGGGAUCUCUGGGUGGAUGAACCUCUUGCUGAAGCAACCCGGGUUCAAGGGCUCUGCGGUGACCUACAAGUCCGGCGAGAGGCAGAAGCUGCAGGACGCCGGGUAUGUCAUCGUCGGUAACAUCGGCGACCAGUGGAGCGACAUCCUCGGCGCGCCAGAGGGUGCCCGCACCUUCAAGCUGCCCGACCCCAUGUACUACAUCGGCUAGGCCGCCUCUGGCUCGGCCGGGCAUGCUGCCAUUGAUUUCUCGAAUAAGCUCCAUGCUCUUAGUUAUAUGCAUGUUUCGUCAGAUAAUCAAUCCCCAAUUGUUGCUUGGUUCAUUUCCAUUGUUGAGAGCUUGAGAUCAAUUGCUACUAUGAAUUAGACGUGUAAGUGGAGAUGUUGCAUGCUGCUUAAUCAAUGGAUCUUUGUUAUGUUGUUUUUCUUUUUGCUCUAUUACAAGGAAUCCAUGGGCAUUAUUACUAUUUGAUAUCUUGUUCUUAAGUCUUAACUUGGAACUUAUAUUGCUGGUGGUAGAUUUUUCUGUACUAAAUUCUGCAUAUGGUGUAUUAAAUAUCAGGGACACAUAAUAUUGUCACACAUAUGGAAUCACUACUGCUAAAAUGACCAGUUCCUGAACCCAUCUGCUAUUGGGCCCAUUUUGGCCCGUCGGAGGAAGGGAUCAUCGUCGGUGGACAGGCAAAGAAGUGCUCGCAUAGACUCCUUCAAAAAAUGUGCCCUCAUAGACGACGGGUAUUUUCCACUGAUGUUGCGCAACUGGUGAUUGCAAUGUAGUUUGUGUCUUGCAUGUUGUAUGCAUAUGUAAUGAAUGUAACAUCUAAUAGUUAAUUAUGCAAGACAAAUAAAGCCCACCCUUUUCAGUAAGUUUAGAGCUAGAUUUGAGUUUGUCUUGGUCUCAUUUUUCUAAACAUACAAUCCUGGAGACAACUCGGUGAAGAAAUGAUGGUCCAAAUAGGUGUCUAACACGAAUCGUCAUCAAAGAAACCCUAUGGGAACCCACACUAUUCUAGUUACUUGGAUGAUUUGUAAUGAAAGAAAUAUAUGUGUCUUCCAAGUUAUUUUGACCAUGCCAAACAACAUCCCUGCUAAGAUAAAAAACGAUGUGGAGACUUGGAUAAAGGCCGGGCGAAGGAUCUGGGAAACAUUAUGCCAGGAGAGUAGUUCCGUUCUAUUAAUUUAUCCUUGGAUGACGUUUCGCGGAGAGAGGGGAGAGGGCGACCUGGGCGAUCUGGGAGCGUCGGGGGCCGCCGUGGGCAUCGUCGGAGAGGGGGAACAUCGGUACUCCUCCUCCGAUCUCGCAUCCCAGGCGCGGCGCCGGAGCCCGAUCUCGGCGGUGGAGGGACCUACUGUCCGUGUCCGAUGGAGAGUUGCGUACUCAGAGGCUGGUUAUUCGGAUCUGCGUGAGGGGCAGAUUGUUUUUCAUUCGGUUUCUCGUUGGAUGACACUACGGGAUGACGACGACGACAUCCUCGCCGGCUGCCAUCUCCAAGAGGAAGAUCUCAUCUGCGAAGGUGCGCAUUUCAUGGUGGAUAUCUUUUCUGUUACUUGUAUUUCUCCUUUCCUGCAGGUGAAUUCACAAGAACGGAUGCAGCCUGAUUUGGUGGACAUAUCUGACGAUGAUAAGAUCGCCUCACCAAGACUUCUCCCUCGAGUUGGGGGGAGGUUUUGGGUACUGGCUAAAGAUGAAGACGACGAGAACCACGACAUUGCCGUAGCACAGGAGGUCUCUGCUCCUUUCUGCGACCAGGUUUUCCAUCCGGCCACGAGGGAUUUUAUUCAUGCAUUGCCUGAUUCGAAGGUCGUUAAGGUAGUUCAACGCAAGGAGCGAUUGGCGAUUAAACCUUGGAGCGGUCCUCUGCCUAAGGUUCAUCUCGAACCAUUGCGGAUCUCGGACAUCAUACCUUGAGAGGCUUGGACUACUGUUUUGCCUAAGAGGAAGAACAAGGGUAAGAGCCGUAAAUUGCAGACGUCAGUCCCUGACAAGGUGCUGUCGUCCCGUGAUUCUCGCGAAUUACGUUUGAACGAGCCGAUGGCUGUUGUCGGGCCGUUGGGACCGGCGCUCGAGUUGGGCUUAAAAGAAACUGGGUAUAUGGCCCAGAUAGACUCCAAUCUAGCAAAACCUGCAAGUCCUACACCUACGGCUGCCCAGAUUUGCCUUGACGAGAAUCAUCAGGACUUGGUUUCUACGUCAAGUUUGCAUAUACCGAGUUCGGCUCUGCCUAGGGUUCCACGACGGCGUUUGCCUGGCUUCCCUUCGCUCGGGCCGGGUCGUGCAGUACGGGUUCCAGCGCUGCGGUGCAUGGCGGGGCGGGGAAACAAGCAGGCGCUGCCUCCCCCUCGACCACCGGCGGUUUCCCAGGCUGUGGGGCGGACUAGGCAGCAGCCCGUGAUGCCGCCAGGGCGCCAGACGGGCCAGGCUUCGGCUGCACCGGUUCCCGCUGCUGGUCAGGGUUUGCCCAACGCGGCUCGGGCGGAUACUAACAGGAUGCAGCCGAGAGGUCGAUGGGGGGAUGAUGGUGUUAAUGCAUAUGGUGAUGGACAGCACCGUGGAUCCUCUUCGUCUGGAGGAGGACGUGGCUAUGCCUGGCAGAGCAAUGGCAGCGCUGCUAAUGGGUUCGCCGGUCCUCCGGGACAGUUUGUGCCCCGGGUCUCGGGUCCUACUCACCCUAGGGAGGUGGAUAUAAGCAACAUUGGGGAGGGAGAGGUGGUGGCAGGAGAUUGAAGCCGCCCACGCCUCCAGUAGAGGUAGAUGCUGCCAAGACAACGGCGGGAGUACCUUCCAAUGCUCCUAAGGGGAAUACACUGCUGCCACCUGUUUCCGAGGAGGAUCCUUCCUUGGCUGACAAGGGAGUAUCGCUUGCGAAGGCAGAGGGGGGGGGAUAGGCCCUCCAAGUGGGCACGCAAAAAAGAAAAGAUGACAUGCUACCGUUGCAGUGAGACGGGUCAUUUUGUUUCCGAAUGCAGCGCGGAUCUGUGUGACUUUUGCUUAAAGCCUAAGCAUGGCUCAGCUAAGUGCCCCCUUACUGUUGGUCCUAUACAUGUCGUCACUUUAUAUGGGGUUUGCUGCCAAGAGUUGAUGUUCUUUGAAUCUCCCUCUGCUUCAACGUCGUUGCAUGUGCCAGACGCGGCCUAUACGGGGACGGUUACGGUGGCUCGUGGUAAUAUGUCAGCUGAGCAGGUGGUGCAACAGUUGAGGGAUCUUGUUUCAUCAAUGUUUCGGUGGGAACUGGUCCUUAUAGCAGAUAAUGUGUUCAAGGUUGUGUUCCCUACCAAGGAGGACCUAGCUAGACUGCUCAAGUUUGGUAUGUGUCGGGUUCCUAGUACUAGUUGUGUGCUAGAGUUCGAUGCUUGGAAGAAUGAGGAGCCAUAAGGUGUGCCACUUCCUCAGAUUUGGGUUCGUUUUUCAGGGGCCCCGUCAAAGGCUCUAAAUGACUUUCUGGUGACUUGGAGUUUGGGAUCUUUGAUAGGUAAGACUGAGAGGGUGGAUAUGCAAUAUACUCGGGCUAAAGGUGUUGCCAGGAUGAGGGUUAGUGUAAUUGAUAUUGCGCUAGUACCGGAUGAAGUUAUAUGGACUUAUGAUGGAAUGCGGUACACCUUGCAACUCGAGAUCGAGAGUCCGGAUAUGUUCGAGGAGGAUGGGACAGACAAAGAUACCGAUAUGGCUGACGGAGAUGAUGCUUCGGGUUCUAGGGAAUCUGAUAAGAAGGAUCAACAGCCAGUUAUUACAAAGAUGGUGGAUCAACCUACCUCAGGUUCUGCUACAGGGGCUGCUCAACCAGUGUCUCUUCCCUCGACGCAGCUUAGGUUCGGUUCCUUUGAACCAGCCUCGGCGCCAGAGAUUCGAGGGAGGGCUUCAGAGAAGUAUGAGCGGGAUCUGGUUCAUCUUAAGCCGCAAGGAAAGCAAGCAAAGUCAGGGUCAUUCAGUAUUAAAAAUCCUAAGGAAGCUUUGACCGUAGUUUCUCUUGGGGAAUAUUUUGUUGUCGCUAGGAAUGCUGAUACGGGCCGGUCUCAGCAACGUGAUGCAGUGCAGCCAGCAAGGCAUAUGUUGUCCGGGUUGGGUACUGUGCCGAGGGGUGCGCCGCCUGGGUCGCCUAGGCAGGGUUCGCUGCUGCUGUAGAGUCCAUCGCCAGCCACCCAGGGGGUUGCUGUUUCUCGGCCAGCCACCCCUGGGGCUGCUACCUUUUUGCCAGCCACACCGAGGGCAAUUACAGCGACUCCUCCUCCUGGCCUACUUCCGUCGUUGGAUGCUGCUGCGAGAUCCACCCCUGCUGCUGGUUUCAUGUCAGCCGAGAGAUCAACCCCUGUUGCUGCGGUUCCUAUCGCUACUAUGGCUGCAACCGGGGCAUCAUCUUUGCGGGUGUCAGGGCUGGAGGGUACUGGUCAGGGGCACCAUGGCGAGGUCGUUGCACCGCCGUCUGUUGAGCAGGUCAUAGCAUACGGAGGUAUUCAAAGUCCGCUGACUUCGGACAGGAGGUCCAGUCGGCGAAUUCAGAAUCAACCUGAUGCGGAUUAUUUACAGAUGGGACGUGCUAUGCGUGCGGCUAAAAUGAGAGAUGUCGAAACUGAGACAGGUAUGUCUUUCAGCAUUAACGAUUCUAUUCUUCAUUUUUCUCCUCAAGAUAUUCUAGAUAAGGCAGGUUCUAUUGGGGUUACAUUGGGGAACAAUGGCCGAGAAAUUUCGAAAUCUAUUAAUGAUCUAUUAGACUUAGAGGUCGAUAGAGCGUUAGACUUAGUACGAAAUUUAGCGGCAGUUAAACCAAUGCAAGAGUCUGAAGUUAACGAUCUAGGGGGACUGAAUUCUCUUUGUGAUAGUCUGGCCCCGUCAGUGGAUAUAGAGGAUGGUGCGGGCGAGGUUUUAGUUGGUCAAGGGAUGUGUGCCCAAUCUCAUAAGGCUGAGCCUCAAUUCUCUGGUUAUAUGGACCAGGAGUUGCUGGAAAAGCCGAAGCGUCCAUGGAGACGGAAAGUGUAUCCGGUCUCUGCGAUACGUAGAAGUGCUAGAUUUAAGAUUGCCAAAAAAAAUUAUGAUGAUUAAUGAGAGGAAUUUUUUGGAAUAGCAGAGGUCUUUGAGACUUGGCUAAAAGAAGAUUUCUAGCAGAGGCUACUUUAGAGCAUCACCUUGAUUUUAUCGCAGUGAUGGAGACAGGGAGGGAUAACUUUACGUCUCAUUUUUUAAGUUCUCUAUCAGCUGGGGUGGAUUUUGACUGGCACUGUCUCCCUCCAAGAGGAAGGUCCGGUGGGAUCUUACUUGGGGUCCGUUGUGACACUUUUCAAGUGCGGGAGGUGGUGUUUGGGGAGUUUGCAGUCAAAUUCAAGAUUAGAUCUAAGGAUGACGGGUUCCAAUGGGCUCUCGUUGCCGUCUAUGGCGUAGCACAGCCAGAUCUAAAGCCUGAUUUCCUAGCAGAUCUGGUCAGGAUUUGUGAUGACAAACUACCAUUGCUGGUAGGUGGAGAUUUUAAUAUUAUUAGGCGGGCUGAUGAAAAAAGUAGUGUUAAUUUUGAUGGAAGAUGGCCUUUCAUGUUUAACACAAUUAUUGAGAGCUUAGAUAUGAGGGAGACCGCUCUAUCAGGUAGGAAAUAUACCUGGGUGAAUGCUCUACAGAAUCAGACAUUUGAAAAGUUGGAUCGUGUCUUAACUAGUGUAGAGUGGGAGCAGAAGUUCCCUCUAGUAACUGUUAGAGAACUUCAACGCGCAAUCUCGGAUCAUACUCCUCUGUUGCUGGAUUCCGGUGAGGCUAGCCAUAUAGGAAACAAACAUGGAUUCUCUUUUGAAUCAAGUUGGUUCACAAGGGAGGGGUUCAUGGAUAUGGUCGAGAGGGAAUGGAAUACAGAGGUCAGGGGCGAAACCUCUAUAGAAAGAUGGCAGUAUAAGAUUAGACAUCUUAGACAGUAUUUGAGGGGCUGGUCUAAGAAUGUGUGUGGAAUAUAUAAAGAAGAGCAAGAUAAGCUCCUCAAACUUAUAGACAAUCUAGAUCGGAAGGCUGAGAGUUGUCUUCUGGAUGCUAACGAAAGGGAUCUCAAAUUCGAGGCCGGACAGCGCUUGCGUAUUCUCCUAAGAGAGGAGGAAAUGAAAUGGGCGCUUGAGCCAAAGUGAAGGCCAUAGUUCUUGGAGACAAUAACACUAAAUUUUUCCACUUGAUUGCAAAUGGCAAGCAUAGGAAAAAGAAAAUAGUGCAGCUUGAGCAAGAUGAGGGUACAAUACUAGGUCAUGAGAAUCUAAAAUUGUACAUCUCUAACUACUACAAACAUUUAUUUGGUGCUCCUGAGCAUAGCUUUGUGACUAUGGAUGAGCAAAAAGUGGCGGAUAUUCCUCAAGUUGGAGAGGCUGACAAUGAGAUUUUAUCCGCUCCUUUCUCAGAGAAAGAGGUGUUUGACGCGAUAGGGAAUAUGAAGAAUGGAAAAGCUCCCGGUCCAGAUGGGUUUCCGGCGGAGUUUUACAAGCACUGUUGGCAUAUUAUUAAGAAUGAUCUUAUGUCAAUGUUUGCUGAUCUUUUUAGUGGUCACCUUCAACUCUUCCAUUUGAAUUUUGGUACUAUUACACUCUUACCAAAGAAGGAAGGGGCCACGCGGAUUGAACAGUUUCGUCCGAUCUGUUUGUUGAAUGUUAGCUUCAAGAUUUUCACAAAGGUGGGAACAGAUAGGUUGACUAAGAUGGCCCAUUCGGUGGUACAAUCUACGCAAACAGCUUUUAUGCCAGGACGGAAUAUCCUUGAAGGAGUCGUUGUCUUGCAUGAAACUCUUCAUGAAAUGCACUCGAAGAAACUAGAUGGGGUUAUCUUUAAAGUGGAUUUCGAAAAAGCUUACGAUAAAGUCAAAUGGUCGUUUCUCCAGCAAACCCUACGUAUGAAGGGUUUCGAUGAGCUGUGGCGUAGGCACGUCGAUUGUUUUAUAAAGAAGGGAAGUGUGGGUGUCAAAGUGAAUGAUGAUGUGGGUCAUUUUUUCCAGACACUAAAGGGUCUCCGCCAAGGAGAUCCAAUGUCUCCCAUUUUAUUUAACAUUGUUGCUGAUAUGUUGGCACUGCUGAUUAAGCGGGCCAAUGAGAAGGACCUUGUAAGGGGCUUGAUCCCUCAUCUUGUUGAGGGGGGGAGUCUCCAUUUUACAAUAUGUGGAUGACACGAUUCUUUUUUUGGAGCAUGAUCUCAGUAAAGCCAGGAACCUCAAACUUAUCCUAUGCUUAUUUGAACAGCUAUUAGGGCUGAAGAUAAAUUUUCAUAAAAGUGAAUUGUUUUGCUUUGGAAAGGCCAAGGAUGAGCAGCUCACGUAUAAUCAAUUGUUUGGUUGUGCUAGCGGGAGUUUACCUUUUACUUAUUUAGGGAUCCCAAUUCAUCACAGAAAAUUAUCAAAUAAGGAUUGGAAAUGUAUCGAGGACCGUUUCGAAAAAAGUUGAGCUGUUGGAAGGGCGAGCUCUUAUCGUAUGGAGGAAGGUUGAUACUGGUUAAUUCAGUAUUAACAAGUAUGCCUAUGUUUCUCCUAUCCUUCUUUGAAGUACCUGUUGGGGUACGGAAAAGGUUGGAUUUCAAUCGAUCACGGUUUUUCUGGCAAAGUGAUGAGAUCAAGACUAAAUACAGACUCUCGAGAUGGGACAUCAUGUGUAGACCUAAGGAUCAAGGAGGUUUAGGGAUUGAAAAUUUAGAGAUUAAAAAUAAAUGUCUACUCAAUAAAUGGCUGUCUAGAUUAUCUAUGGAGACAAAGGGGUUGUGGGUACAAAUUCUGACGAAUAAAUACCUACAAAACAAGACUUUGGCGCAGGUUACAUUGAGACCAACUGAUUCACCGUUCUGGAAGGGGGUCAUGCGGUCUAAGAAUGCUUUUUUUCUCAGGUCUAAGUUUGUUAUUGGCAAUGGCCAAUCUACUAGAUUUUGGGAGGAUACUUGGUUGGGGGAGACGCCUUUAGCCAUGCAGUAUCCGCAACUCUACCAUAUUACACAAAGGCGUCAGGCGACUGUUGCGUCAAUUUUGCGCCAGGUUCCUCUAAAUAUUCAGUUAUGUAGAGCCUUAAUAGGUAACACAUGGUCAAGCUGGCUGCAUCUAGUGAGAAGGUUGUUGGAUAUUACCCUUACUGAGAACCCUGAUAGUGUUCGUUGGAAGUUGACCACUGAUGGAGUUUUCUCGGUAAAAUCUAUGUAUUUAGAUCUCAUAGAUUCUGUGUCCAUCCCGAAGUCCUUACAUAUUUGGAAGGUCAAAGUUCCACUUAGAAUUAAGAUCUUCAUGUGGUUUGUUCGCAAGGGGGUUAUUCUAACUAAGGAUAAUUUGGUCAAACGUAAAUGAAAAGGUAAUACUAGAUGCAGUUUUUGUGAGAACGAUGAAACAAUUAAACACCUCUUUCUGGACUGUCCUAUGGCUAAACUUCUAUGGCGAACACUUCUUAUUACUUUCAACAUUAAGCCACCCAAUAGUUUAAACACGUCAUUUGGGACGUGGUUAAGAGGGGUCGAUGAUAUAACUGCUAGCCUGAUCCGAGUAGGAUCAUGUGCACUUCUGUGGGCUACAUGAAACUGUAGAAAUGACUUGGUAUUUAACAAACAUCAACAUAUUCACUUUUUGCAGGUCAUUUUCAGGGUUAUUGCCUUGAUCCGCACAUGAUCAUUACUCACUCCUGUGGAAGCCAGGGAGCCUAUGGUUACUGGGUGUGUCCGAUGGAAGAUGGUAGCUCAGGUUAUCUUCAACCGUUUUGGAUGACGGCAUAUUAAUAGGAUAGGUGUUUAGUCAUCUAGGCUUAUUUCAAUGCCUCCCGGUUGUGGCGACGACGCCGUGUAUCUUUUUGUUAUUUUCUUCAUUUACUUAUCUGAAGACUCUUUGUACUUUUCGAGGAUUUGGUUUUGAAAUAAUAUAUGGCCGUAUGCAUCCUUCGAUGCCGAGGCCGGGGCUUUGCCUCCUUUUCAAAACAAAAAAAUUUAAUUUAUCCUUUCAUUGUUAACCCCUUUUUUGGACUGCAGUUAUUCUAACUCUCUUUUAAGUAAUGUAAUAAGGCAUAUCUUUUUCCUCCAUUUCGAGACAAAGUUCGGACCUAGCACAACUGUAACAUCCGCUCUACAUCGACUCACUCUAGAGAGACUAGUCUUGGCACCUUUUGCAGAACAUGAUUAGUGUCCUGACAUGGAGUAUUUUAGCAUAUAAUGGUCAACUCUCAAGCACAUAUCACUUCAAAUUGCAUUGCUGAAAAAGAACAUACACUUGCACGUUUUUCGAACUUUCACGCAACAAUAAAGUAACUCAAUGAAAUAUUAUGAUACACUCAAAAACAAUAAUAAGCACUCAACAAAAUAUCAACAGUUUUAUUUUGAUGGACGUAGUAGGACUGUAUCUGUUGUCCACUUGGCUACUUUAUCAACAUAUUUAUUUCAACCACCCUGAUCAACAGACAAUAUCUAAGUAUGUUAUGCUAAUUGAGUUAAAAUGGAUAAUCCUUAUUUUAUAAGAUGCAAGGAGUCGAAACAUAUUGUGAUUAGUUGCAUGCUACUAGCCUACUACAACACUAUUGAUCUUAGUUAAGAAGAUUAUCUUGUGAUUAGACGAAGUCUAGAUCAUCUAGCCAAGUAUGAAAAUAUUUAAAGGAGCGUGUGGAUACCUUUUCUUCUUUAAUAAAGGAAAAAAAAUUGUGUAUAUAUGCGAGUCUGAAAACAAAGAAAAGAAAGAUGGACAGCUUAUCACAGCUUCACAUAUGUCAUCUACUCCCUGCGUUCCUAAAUAUAAGUCUUUUAAAAGAUUUUACUAAAAGACUAUAUAUGAAGCAAAAUGAAUGAAUCUACAUUUUAAAUAUAUCUAUAUACAUUCUUUAGAAAGACUUAUAUUUAGGAACGGAGGGAGUAAUAGCUAAUUGAGGGGUUCAAAUAACUUUGUUUCGCAAUAAUGAUUGAAAAUCAACCUUUUGUUGAAAUCCGAAACUCUACGUACGGUAGACCUAUUUUUAUCAAGGGAAUCAACAAAGAUGAUCUGCUACAUAAAAAUGCGCGUAUGGUCACUCACGAGCCACAAGGACGAUGCUUGAGUAGUGAUGAGUGAGGUGCACGAUGAGAUUAAAUAUUCCAACUAGUGUAACCGAAAAGUAUAGUAAGUUAGACAUCGUUCUUGGUCCACGAAAAUAGUGGCGUGAUCGAUGACAUCUUGAUGCCGGCCGGAGACUAGGAUCUGGCUGUUUGAUAGGGUACCAAUUAAUUUAUACCCUCCACUUGGCCAACUUACUUCAUCACCAGUCGAUAACUGUAUACGCAUUGUUCCAUAUUCAUGCAUGCACGUGCUUACAGCCCAAGAGCAUUGGGUUUAGCUGGUGCUGUCUGAUCCGCUUGAACUCGUAGAAAAAGGGCCUUUGGCCUGGACCCUUUAGUCCCAGCCUGUCUUUCGGUCGGAACUAAAAGCCGGCCACGUCAUCCCAAAUUAUCAGUUUAACCCGCUUGGCCACCAUUUAUAUCAUUAAAAAACCUCAAAUUUGUAGCGGGGUGAGUUUACAUGUUACCUUGGAUCGCCAUUGUUUUUUUGGCCCUGCGUGUAACGACGAUGGCCGGAGUAGGCUCGUGCAGAUUAGUCCUCCUCUUGGUAAUUAAGGAGUAUAUAUCCACUAGCUAGUGUCUGACAUUCAGAACCUCCACUCGAUGGCCAGAGUAUUUGAUAUUUAUACUCUCCUCUUGGUAAUUAAGGAGUGCAUAUCCACUAGCUAGUGAUCUAAACGUUUCUAUAUUAAUUUAUGGAGGAAAUAUUUAAUAAGGUUAUUACCCAACAUUACAGGCGCCAUCCGAUAAACCAUAUCACUUUUUUUUGCGAGGACCUAAACCAUAUUCAAAAUGCAGAAUUACUGGCACGUGGUGUAGUUUACGGAUCGAGCCUCCUCCUUCGUGGGCACCAUAGUAGUCAUGCAAGACAUCGUAGUUAUAUAGUGGUCAAGUGUGAGUUAUGAUUGCUUGUAUAUUUUUUAUGCGAUUUAUGAGUCAAUAAAAGUGCUUUUAUUGAGAAAUGUAUCUAUAUUGAUUAUUGUUGAACCUGCCAUUAAUGUAACUAUUUACACAUGUGCGGGGCCAUGCCGUCCAACACGAGGAGCUUCAAAGCGUAUGUGUGGGAGGGGAGUGCGUCGAUGCUGCAAUGACGAACUGCUCUUGGUCGGCGUCCAGCCGGUGUUCCUCACCGGCCAGACCGAGGACCAUAGGGACAUCAUCGUCACCAACCUCCACCGCCCGAGUUCAAGGGCUCCACGGUAACCUACAAGUCUCAUGAGAGGCAGAAGUUGCCGACGACCUGGUAUGUCAUCGUGGGCACCAUUGAUGACCAAGGGAACGACAUCCUGGGGGUAUCCGGUGGGGGGCACACCUUCAAGUUGCCCGACCACAACGGCUAGGCUACAUAGAGAUCGGCCAUGCCUUGAUUGAUUUCUUGAGUAAGCUCUAUGCUUUCAAUUGUAUGCAUGUUUAGUAAACAAUCCCUCCCUAGUUGUUGCUUUGUUCAUUUUCAUUGUCGAGAACUUGAGAUCAAUAGUUAGUAUUUAUAAGACGUGUUACGCUAAAAGUUGCAUGCAACAUAAUCAAUGGUUUGUUGGUUUUAUUGUUUCUCUCUAUUACGAGAUCCAUGGGCUAUAUUGUUGUUUGAUGUAUUGUAAUUCUUAACUUGGAUCUGUAAUAUUGAUCAUGGUGUACUUUUUAACUAAAGAUUGUUGAUGGUGGAAUUAGUAUGAAAGGUACAUAGUGCUGUCACACAUAGGGUGUCACUACUCCCAUUUUGGCCCAACAGAAGGAAGGGUCAUCAUUUACGGGUCACCAGACUGCGUUAGUAUAGAGGCAACAAGGUAUUUUAACCAUGCCGAACAUCAUUAUUGUGAAGAUUAAAAAUGAGGCGGCAACUUGGGUCAAUUUUUGGGGUGGAGGAUUUGAGAAACACUAUGCCCCGUGAGAAACUCCGCUAUAUUAUUUAAGUCUUUCGUUUUUAGCCUCUCUUUUUUCGGCAGCGGUUCUUCCAACUCUCCUAGUAAAUAGAAAGGGGGAAAGAAAAUCUUUUGCCUCCAUUUUGAAAAAGAAAAGGUUGAGACUAACAUCCCUUUCCAUCGACCCACUCUAGAGAGUGUCUCCAACCUUGUUUUCUUGGCCCUUUUGCAUGACAUGAGUAGUGUCCUAACAUGGACUCCUUGAUGUGUAACGCUCAGCUCUCCUGACCAAAUCGCUUAGAAUUACAUCACACGCAAAAGUUAUAUACUUUUGCAUGUUUUUCGCACGUCAAUGCAACAUUAAAAAUUUCAAUGAAACAUUAUGAUACAUUUUGAAACAAAAAAGAACUCAGCAAAACAUACUGUGGAAAUAGAAAAUUUUUGCCAACAACUAAAAAAACGCAGUCAUCAAUUUAGCCGCAACAAAAAUAAGAUGUUAGAAGUCAGAACAUCUUGUGCAUGAUUAUAUGCUAUAGGACUAUUCAUUAGAGAAACUAGUUGGGUAAAACUUUCUCCUUUUUCCGAAUCUCCUUUUUAAUGUGGGGAAAAAGCUAAUGCAUUGUGGUUUAAAGUAAAUAUUACAUCGGCCUGGGAAAUUUAAAAUGAAUCUAGACUGGACGGCUACAAAGAGAACCAUAAAAGUAUUCAAGCACGUCAGAAGAAAAGGAAAGAUAAAAUUCAAAAAAGAAAAGAGAAAAGGAAAGAUGAACAACCUAUCACUUGCCUCAUAUCUUUACCUAAUAAUAAAGAGGCUAUUGCUUCCGUCGAAAAACCCACCGCUGCCGUUUUUUAAAAAGCCCCCUGUCUUUUAGGUAAUUAAACCCGCAGUACCUUUUUAUGUGUUACGAACAUGAAAACGUUUCAUUUUUGCAGGGAGCCUCCCAUGGCAUUGGAUAAGAGAAACGCAUCUGGGCUGACGAAAACGCACGAGAGGGCUAUCGCUUCUGCCCUCAUAAUCCCACAUCGAUACUUCACAGAUAAUUUCAUCACUUUAUAUACAUGCGCCUUGGUGAUUUUACAAGAGGCAACGGAAAUCAAGAGAGGAACAAAUUCGAGAAGAAGAAAUUGAGAUGACGCAAACAGAGGUGGAGCUGCGAGACAGAGGGGGCUCGGGGCGAAGGAAAGGGUCGGGCGCCGGCGAUGCAUACGUGGAGGUGGGGGCGUCGGGGUUAGAGGAUUCAGGCAACCGGCGGGGUAAGUCUUGCCGGAGACUGGCCCCAUAGGCCGACCUCGCAGCAGCACACCAUGGGAGGUGGUCGCGAGGUGCAGAGGUGGGAGGCGGUGGAGGAGCGGAGGAGGAGGCGAGUGCGGGCGCCAUUGGAAGGGGGGAGUCGGGGAGAUUGGGGAUCCUGUGGGGCUCUCUCCCCUAGCGGCGCGAGGUGGAGGAGAGGAGGGGGGCUGGGGAUCGGGCUAGGUUAGGGGAUUUAGGAGUGGGUAAGGCUAUGCCUUGGCACGCCUAAUGGGUUGUGCACUACUACUCAUCUCUCUUUCCUUUAAUUUCUUUAUCUAAAUUCUUUAAUUAAAAAUAUGUGGUAUUAUUUUUUUUCCGUUGCAACGCACGGGUCCUUUUGCUAGUAUCAUCUAACAAAUCGAGGGGUUCGCAUAGAUCUGCUUCGCCACAUAAUAAUAUAAUCAUGACAAAAGGCUACCUUCUGGUGAAAGCAGAAGCUCUGCAAUAAAGCUGCAAUCGUAGACCUAUUUUAUGAAGGGAACCAACAAAUCGAGCUGCACAAUCCAAUUAAAUACUAAUUCCUCCGUUCCUAAAUAUAAGAUUUUUUAAAGAUUAUAUUAUGAACUACAUAAAAAGAAAAAUGAAUGAAUCUAUAUUUUAAAAUAUGUUUAUAUACAUUUGUAUGUAGUUCAUAGUUAAAUCUAUAAAAGGUCUUAUAUUUAAAAACAGAGGGAGUAUAAGUACUGAGUAAGUUUGACAUUUGUUCUUGGUCCAACAAAACAGUCGUGUGACCCAUGACGAAGCGGCGAUGCCGGAGUUGGAUCUCACUGUCUGAUAUUUAUCGAUUUGUGCCCUCCACUUGGCCAGCUUAAUUGAUCACCAGUCUCUUUCAUUGACAAUUAGUGCUGCUCAUACACGUGCGUUGCAUACAGAUGAUAUAUUGGGUUUAGGUACGGCUGUCUGAUCCACUUGGCCACCUUCUCACUAGAAAGCUCAAGUUUGCAGCGACGAGUUUGCAUGUUACUACAUUGGAUCGCCGUUGUUUAGCCCUGCGUGUGUGAUGAGGGGCGGAGACCCGGAGCAGACCCGUGCAGAUUCGUAUUCCCUUGGUUAUGUUUUAUUCUGUAUAUUAGGUUUGUAUAAUGUAAAACCUAAAUUUGCUUCGCCACAUAAUAUAAAAUAAUAUAAUCAUGACAAAGGCUACCUUCUGGUGAAAGCAGAAGCUCUGCAAUCAAGCUGCAAUCGUAGACCUAUUUUAUGGAGGGAACCAACAAAUCGAGCUGCACAAUCAAAUUAAAUACUACUCCCUCCCUUUUUAAAUAUAAAAACUUUUAAAAAUUAUACUAUGAACUAUAUAAGAAACGGAAUGAGUGAAUCAAUACUCUAAAAUACUCCCUCCGUUCUAAAAUAGGUGUCUUAACCUUAAUACAAUUUUGUACUAGAUCUAGUACAAAGUUGAGACAAUUAUUUUAAGACAGAGAGAGUAUGUCUAUAUAUAUUUAUAUGUAGUUUAUGUUGGCUUUGGAUCCGUAGAUUAAUUCACCCAGUAGCUACCACAUACGUGCAAGCUAGCCUCUAAGCUAGCAAGCAGGCACACAAGUGGAUGGAUAUCCAAUUCGUAGAAAUAGAACGACGUACGACGAGCUAGCUAACUGAUUCGAUCGUCUUGACUGCUCGGAAUGUAACUCGUUGAAAAACUGAUCGAUGGAUUGCUAACAGGCUCGUAUCGAGCCUGGUACUUUUUUAUUGCGUUUUGAUCUCUGGUGUUACAAGCAACAUCUCUAGGAUGCCUUUUAUACACAUCCACAAGGAACUAUGAAAAUAGACUAGGACUAGGUAUCCUAAUACUACUAGAACUCGGUUUGAUUUUCUUUCCUAAUCCUAUGUGUACAAGGCAACGUGAUUAACUCACAUUCACCCCCUAAUCACGAUGUCCUUACUUCCGACCUGGGUCCCAAACACGAUUGCUGCUUCUCAUAAAUGUUAUCAUCGACAUGGCCUUUGUCGUCCCUUGCAACAUUUUAUGGACCGUCUUUACUGUCGUCGGCUCGUCCGUAGCUCGAUGACAACACUCCUUUUUGGUCGUGUCUUCAAUCUUCAUCUCUUCUUCGGUGCUUUGUAGACUGUCCUUCGGAUCAUCGAGGGUACAUCUUUUGAACCUGAGCGUGACCAUACUUUGGUCUAACUUUGAAUUUCAAGCUCUUGGCGCUUGCAUCAGCCCGUAACUUUGAACCACAAGGAAGAAGUACUUCUUUCCUCCGUGAGUUGCUGGGGUGAUAGGGCCACAUAGAUCACCAUGGAGCAGCUAGAGUGCAUCACUUGCACGAUAGGUAGACUGAGCAGGGAACGGCCUGCGGUGCUGUUUUCCAACCAAGCACCCGUCACAUACUCGAUCAACAUGGUCGAUAACUGGCAUCCCGGAUACCAUCUCCAUCUUUGACAUCUUCUUCAAGGCGUAGAAGUUAACAUGUCCGAAUCAUCAUCACUCUUGGCGAGCCAACACUCCAGUUGAGAUUGAUCAAGGUUGAGGAUAUAGAGCCUGUUCCGUGUGCGAGUAACACGAGCUAGCACGUUUCGGAGGUUGUCGAAGAUCGUCAUUACUCCGUUAUCGAUACCCACCUUGCAUCCAUUCUCGUCAAGCUUCCCAAUAAAGAUGAUGUUGUUGUGAAGCCGUGGGAUGUAGUACACUCCGGUAAGUAUGCGAUGUUCGCCUGUGAGACCCUCGAAGAGGACAGAUCCUUGCCCACAAAUCUCCACAUUUGAACCAUCACCGAACUUGACUGAGCCUUCAACAUCGUAUUCCAGCUCGAGGAAUUUCUCCUUGCACCCCGUCAUGUGGUUACUGGCACCCGUGUCGAGAUACCACAACACAUUCUGAUCACCAGCUAACUUCGGUGUCACUUUGUUUUCAUGAAGUAGCACCUUCCGGCUUGGUUUCACAACCACCGUUUCAGCGAGAUCACAAACUUCGGCCAUCAGAAGACCUGGACCUUCGUCUUCCUCCUUUGCCAAAUUUGCCUUGAUCUCUCGCUUGUCAUGCUCCGGACAAUCCUUUGCAAAGUGACCCAUCUCGUUGCAGUUAUAGCACUUGACCUCGGACAUAUCCAAGUUCCGUUGCUUCCGCCCUUUAGAUCGGUCAGCCUUACCACGACCUUGUAGCUUGCCUUUUCCUUUGCCUUCUCCGGUUUGUCCGCCGCGCGUUGUGCUGCUUGAGCCUUCGUUGCCAUCACACCUUCCUUUGCUACUUGGGGACUCCCAAUCUGCACGUGAGUACAUGAGUUGGUCACUACCUCCUCCGUUGCCUUCCCGACAACUACGAGAAUUCUCUUCCCACGUCCGCAGGCGUCCGAUCGCCUCCGUUAUGGUCAUGUCGUCGAUGUCGUAAAGCUGCUCGAGCGUGCCAAUGAUGUACGUGAAUUUUUUAGUCACCGAACUGAAAAAUUUCUCCACAAUCUCGGUCUCCUCGAGCUUUGCACCAAGCGCGCGGAUCUCUCCCACCAAAGUAGUAAGACGCAUGGCAUAGUCGUUCACCGAUUCAGUUUUCUCCAUCUGCAACUUGUGAAAUUGGCGCUUCAGCACUUGUGCCCGAGCCUUGGUGACGCGAUCUUCUCCGAUCCUCAUCUCGUUGAGUGCGUUCCACGCCUCUCUUGCCGUCUCGAACUCCACCAAUGUCAUCAGCACGGAAUCCGGCACAGACUGGGCUAUGGCGGCCAUGGCACCUUCGUCGCGCUCCUCGUCGACGUCGUCGUCCGUGAUGGCCUCCCACACUCGAAGAGAUCGGAGAAUAAUCUUCAUCUUCACCGCCCACACGUCAUAGUUGGCAUCGGUGAGCAUCGGGUACUGGAUGGGGAUGUUGCGAUGCGCCUGGACGUUGGCGCUGCUCGUUCCUCCAUCACUCGUUGCUGACUUGUCGUCCUUCUUCACCUUGUCGUCGUUCUUGUUCGCCUUGGCACCGCCUUUGCCGGAUUUGACCGACUCAGCGUCGCUGUCCGUCAUCGUAGAUCGUAGAUCGUCGAGGCUCUGAUACCAAUUGUUGGCUCUGGAUCUGUAGAUCAAUUCACCCAGCAGCUACCACGUACGUGCAAGCUAGCCUCUAAGCUAGCAAGCAGGCACACAGGUGGAUGGAUAUCCAAUAGAACGACGACGAGCUAGCUGACUGAUUCGAUCGUCUUGACUGCUUGGAACGUAACUCGGUGAAAAACUGAUCGAUGGAUUGCUAACAGGCUCGUAUCGAGCCUGGUACUUUUUGUAUUGCGUUUUGAUCUCUGGUGUUAUAAGCAACAUCCCUAGGGUGUCUUUUAUACACAUCCACAAGGGACUAUGAAAAUAGACUAGGACUAGGUAUCCUAAUACUACUAGGACUCGGUUUGACUAUCUUUCUUAAUCCUAUGUGUACAAGGCAACGUGAUUAACUCACAGUUCAUAGUUGAAUCUUUAAAAGGGCUUAUAUUUAAGAACGAAGGGAGUAUAAGUAGUGAGUAAGUUUGGGACACGCCGUUUUGGCUCCCGGACUCAGAUGAGCCCGAGCGUAAACAGUACGCCAGUUUGGGGUGCAAAAAAUGUUCCAAAAAAUCAAAAAAAAUUGUGAUGCAAGAUGCUCCUAUGUGUGAACUCUCUGUAAAAUUUUGUGAAGUUUGGACAUACGAGGAGCUCACUGCAAAAAAGACGAAAUUCAGAUGUGUGAGAAACUUUUGAAAAUCACACUAUUCAUGCCUGAUUUUGUCUUUUUUGCUGCAAACUCUUCAAAUGUCCAAACUUCAUAAAAUUUUACAGAGUUCACACAUCGAAGCAUCUUGCAUCAUAAAAAAAUAUUUUUUUUAAACUUUUUUGUAUUCCAAACCGUUGUACUGUUCACCGGGCUCAUACGAGCCCGGGCUCACAGAUGGAUUACCGGUAAGUUUGACAUUUGUUCUUGGUCCAACAAAACAAUGGUGUGAUCGAUGACCAAGCGGCGAUGCCGGAGUUGGAUCUCGCUGUGUGAUAUUUAUCGAUUUGUGCCCUCCACUUGGCCAGCUUAAUUGAUCGCCAGUCUCCUUCAUUGACAAUUAGUGCUGCUCAUACACAUGCGUUGCAUACAAAUGAUAUAUUGGGUUUAGGUACGGCUGUCUGAUCCACCUGGCCACCUUCUCACUAGAAAAGCUCAAGUUUGCAGCGACGAGUUUGCAUGUUACUACUCCCUGUGUACCGAAAUAUAAGACCUUUAAGAAAAAUUCCGACCAGAUGAAAAUGUGGACAAUUGACCAGGUUACCCCCCACCUCCGGCAGCUCGCUAAUUUCAAAUCAACCCAGAUCCAGUCGCCCCCCACCUCCGGCCAGCUCGCUAAUAACCCAGAUCUCACUACUCUGCUUGUCCGCUCCCUCCUCUGCCCCAGCUUGUCCGCUCCCUCCUCUGCCCCAGCUUGUGCGGCCCCUCCUCUGCCCCUACCUCCUCUGCCCAGCUCGUCUGCUAGCUACCAGCAGCUUCUCCAGUAGCCAGCGGCAGCAGCUCCUCCGGCAGCUAGCAGUAGAUCCAGCAGCUCCUCCACCAGCCAAUAGGAACUCCAGCAGCUCCUCCACCAGCUAGCACGAGCUCCAGCAGCUCCUCCACCAGACACCAGCACCAGCUCAUCCACCAGCCAGCGGCAGCCCCUCUGUCUGCCGGCAGAAGCAGCUCUUCCGCCUCUGCACUCCCAGCUGCCUCAACGAGGUCCUCUCCCAGUGAUGCACCCAUCGCCCAACAGAUCGCCGGAGGUUUUUCUUUUGAUCCAGGGUGCAGAUCGCCACAGGAGGUCCUAGUGGUGUUGGAUCCUGCUUAUCCCGUCUCCUGCAAACCAAAAAAGCAGGACAAUUAGAGGGUAUUUAUCACAACUUAGCAACAGUUGAACAGAAAACAGUUUAACAACAGCAGCAAAAAUUUUAGCGAGAUCAACAACAUCAGUAGCAGCAUCAAGACAUAGCAACAAUAGCAGCAAUAGGGAGACAUAGAAGUAGCGACAUGGAGUGGCAGCAGGAGUUCAUCAAAAUCAAUAGGGAGUAGCAGCAGCAGGAGUUCAUCACAAUCAAAAUCAACAGGGAGUGGCAACAACAUGGAAUUUGACCUCAACUGUACUCCGCCCGAAGAAGAUGAGAUCAGUCAAAAUGAGAUCAACAUGGAGGACUCACAGGGAGGCAAUGAUCAUGUUGAAGAUGAGAUCAACAUGGAGGACUCACAGAGAGGCAAUGAUCCUGGUGAACAUGAUAUGAACAUGGAGCAAAUAAGGGGAGGCAAUGAUCCCCACGAAGAUGAUAACAGUAAGCACAAUAUACUCAUUUAGCAGUAACAGUGUCUCAUUUACCAAGUUUUUGAAAAUGAACAGCAAGUCUAGUUUCUGAAGAUGAACAGUAACUCCACUUUCUAGAAAUAAACAGUAAUAGUAACUCAUUUGAUCAUUUGAACAUGUGACCAUUUAAAUAUUUUAUCAAUUUAUCAUUUGAUAAUUUGAGUAGGACUAAUAUUUUUUCAUUGUUGUGUUUCUUGUUGCAGUUCUUGAGCAAGGAGUUAGAAAGAGGAAAACUCUGAGUGACCAACAAAAAUAUGCUGCUUAUGUGGCAUUGCACAUAUUAUGUAUGAGUAGAGGUGGAAAGUUCAAGAUAACGGAUAAGAAAAACCUUGCACAUUUUUUUAAUGUAGAAUUGAGGAGUAUACAAAGAGUUUGGCAGAAGGCGAUGAAGCAAAUUUCAGAAGGUUUCGAGGUGGAUGUUUCCAACCAGAAAAAAGGAAAUGUGGAAGAAAACCAAAGGACAUCAACCUAGAGAAAAUCCCUACAAUACCACUCAAUAGUAGGUCUACUAUCAGAUCAUUAGCCUGGCAACUGGGAUGUAGCCCUACCACUCUCCACAGGAAUUCAAAAUGAAGUUGAUAAAGAGGCAUACAAACUGUGUCAAGCCAGCUCUAAAGGAAAAGAAUAAGAAGGAUAGAAUGAAAUUUUGCUUGUCAAUGCUUGAUGAGGCAACAACAAAAACUGCAAGGCCUAAGUUCAAGACUAUGCAUAAUGUUGUACAUAUUGAUGAGAAGUGGUUUACGAUGACCAAGAAGAAUAAAACUUAUUAUCUGCUGGAUGGGGAGGAAGAGCCUACAAGGCCUAUACAUGGCAACUGUAUUGGCAAGGUUAUGUUCUUGACGGGCGUAGCUAGGCCACGGUGGGAUAGUGAAGGAAAUGUGACCUUCUCUGGAAAAACCGAUGAACUCACGAUAAACUGCGUGCGCUCUUUGUCCCAGUUUCAGUUCCCUUGUUCUUGCUUUUCUAUAUCCCGAUGAACUCACGAAUCCAUGAUCCAUGGUCAAUCCCCAAUAUAUAUACUCAAGCAAUAUACUCUCUCAGCAGUAUAUAAUCAAUCAUACAGGAAAGAGUAUCACUCUCUCAGCAGAAUACAUACUCACGAAUCCAUGGUCAAUAGCAGCAUAUACUCCGUGUGGGGAUUAGUCUAGCUCGUAAGCCACGGGUCCAAAUCAAGCAAUAUAUCUACACUAGAAUCUGUAGCAGAGUACACAUCUGACAAAACCGAGAGAUGUGGAGAGGAAGGGGGUAAGAGACGGAAGGGUACCUGGGUGAGGUCGCUGAGGUGGAAGCAGCCGGUGGAGCGGUCGAGGUCGCCGCUAGGGUGUCGCCGGUGCACUGGAGCUCUGCCAACUCGUCCCCAACUCGACGCCCAGCUCGACGCCCAGUCCGGCGCCCAGCUCGAUGCCCAGGUCGACGCCGUCAUUGCUCGGGCUCGGCUUCAGCGCCUCCUUCACCCUGUCCUUGCUCGCCCAGCUCGUCGGCUUCUUGGUCUCGACGAGGCUCCCGCUGAAGUACUCCACCCCCGCCGCCGCAUAGACGAGCAACCCAACUGAGGGCGCCCGCAGCUCCCGCUGAAGUGAUCUGCUAUGUCCAGCACCACUCCGUCAUCCAUAUCCAACAUCGGCGCCCACACCAGCUCUGUCGAUGCAAAACAAACACAUUUUUGACCUUUGAGUGGGAAAGGAAGGAGAGGAAGCACGCAGUGGGAAAGGAAGGAGACAACACACGCGGUGGGCUGUGGGAGGAAGAACGCGGUGGGCUGUAGGAGGAAGAACGGUGGGCUACGGUGGCCGGCGACGACGUAGAGAGGCGACGAGGGAGGGGAAUGAGAGGGUGUGAGAUCUGGGCAGCGAGUGGAUGAGAAUGGGCAGGUGGGGGCAUUUUCGGAAACUCGGAAAGUUUCGUAGUGUCGCGAGAUUUACACUAGAAUCGCUAAAACGUCUUAUAUUUCGGUACAGAGGGAGUACAUUGGAGCAGACCUGUGCAGAUUCGUACUCCCUUCGUUUUUAUUUAUUCUGUAUAUCAGGUUUAUAUAAUGUCAAACCUAAAUCCUUUUAACAAAUUUGUAGAAAAAUAUAUCAACAUAAUCCCUUCAUUUCACAAUUUAGCGCUCGUUCGUGUGCUUUUCGAGAUCUAAGUUUGACCAUACCUUUAAACAAGAAGACCGAUUGCUAUGGGAGCAAAAAUUGAAUCACUGAAUUUGUAUUGAAAUUAAAUACUGAAUUUGUAUCGAAAAUAUAAAUUCAUUGGUAUAAUUUCUGUUGCCACCGCAGUCGGUCUCGUUGGUGAAAUUUAUGGUCAAACUUAGACCUCAAAAAACGCGAGCGCACUACAUUGUGGAACGGAGGGAGUAUACACCAUCAAAUCAAUAUCAUUGGAUUCAUCAUUUCAUAUAUUUUCACAUCAUAUAAAUUUAUUAUUGUAAAUGUUCAUAUCGUUUUCUACAAAUUUCAUCAUACUUUAGAUAGUUUGACUUCAGACAAAACUAAUAUGAGGAGUAAAUAAAAUCAGAGGGGUACCACUCCUAGUAAUUAAUGUGUAUAUCCACUAGCUGCUGAUUGACAUUCAAAUUCUCCACUUGACGAUGGCCAGAGUAUCUGAUAUUCAAACUCUCCACUUGGCCACCUUAUUUCUUCUCCCCAAAUGAGCUAUGAACUGCUCAUUCAUCCAACAUUAAAAUCACUGUGAUGAAACUCUACUCUUUCAGUUUCAUAAUUAGUGCAUAUAGUUUUUCCCCAAAAAACUAAACUUUGACAAAGAUUAUAAAUAAAAAGUCUAUAUCUAGCACAUUGAAUACAUACCAAUAGAUUCGUCAAAAAUAUUUGCAUAUAUUAUAUGAUGGUAUUGUGGAUAUACAUAGAGUUAUCUAUAAACUUGGUCAGAUUUUACAAUGUUUGACUUUUCUAUAAAACCAAUAUGCACUACACUAGGGGAUGGAGGGAGUAUCGUAUGAAAUAUUAUGUGGAAUUAUUCCGUUUCAGACAAUGUUUGGUAUCAAACACAACAGGUACAAUGUUCUAUAGUUUCUCCAAUGUGCAGAAUUAUUAGUUGAAUUGGCAAUUAUUUACAGGAGGGGAGUGCGCUGGUGUGACCGAAAACUAAGUGGAUCGAUGUAUAACAAGCUUCUUUUGGUCGGCAUCAAGACGGUGUUCCUCAUUGUCCGAAUCGAGGACCGGAGUGCAGUAAAUUUUACCAAUCUAUGAUGCGCUCUGGGUGGAUGAAACUGCUCCAAAAGUUGCCCGAGUUCAACGACUCUGUGGUGACCUACGAAUCCGGCGAGCGGCAGAAGUUGCAAGACGUCAGGUAUGAUAUCGUAGGCAACAAUAGUGACCAGUGGAGUGACAUCCUCGACACACCCAAGGGCACCCGCACCUUUAAGCUUCCCUACCCGAUGUACUAAAUCGGCUAGGUUGAAUGCUAGCUAAUCGUCCACGAAUAAGCUCCAUGUUGUUCACUAUCCAUGCUUUGUGAUUACCUUUUUUCCGGGCAUGCUUCCUCAAUACUAAUCCACUAUUACUGCUAGUUUUCUAAUUUCUAUUGAGAAAUCUAUUGCUGCUUGGUUAAAUUCCAUAGUUGGGACCUUGAGUCAGUUACUAGUAUUAAUAAGGUAUGCUACAAAGAAAUUGCAUCUUGCAUAAUCAAUGAAUCGAUGCUCCAUUUUUCCUUGAUUAUAUAAUAUAUGUAGUUUCUAUUUUACACUUUGAUUUAUUUAUUUUUUACUUUUAAUAUUUCCUUUUUUUUCAUUUUCUAGUUUUAUGUUUUAUUUUUUUAUUUGAUCUCCCUUAUGUAUUUAUUUUCUUAUUUUAUUCUUUAGAAUGCUUUCUAUUUGUAAAAAAUAAUGAAUUUUUCCAUACCCUAAUAGUUAAAAACAAUUCCGGGAUAUUAAAAUUACGAUGAACAAGGUCCUAAUAUACGUCGAGAUUUUCCCAAAUACCUGAUGAAUAGUUUUUAUAUGUUUAAGUACAUUUAUAAUUUUGUAAUUACACCAUCAAAUUUAAAUAUAUUUUAAAUAUUUGUUGAAUGCACAAAAAGCAUUUACUAAAUAAUUCGGAACAUUUGCUAUUACAUUGUGAACAUUUCUAGAAUACACAUUGAACAGUUUCCAAACCAUGAUGACUUUUCUAAAUAUGCAUUAUAAAAUUUUCAGUUACACGAACUAAACUGUUUUACCCUGAAUUAUUAUUAUUUUUAAAUUUGUUUUUUCUUAGAAUUAUAAAUAAAAUUAAAUUGAAGUGUUUCAGAGUAUAAAGGACAGAACGGGUAAAAACAAUGACAGAAAAAAUAAAAAUUGCAUUGGGUCGGGUCAUUGUGGAAUACUAUGGGCGAGCCCAAAGGAGUGUUCAUUACUGGUGAAUUAUAGUAGCAACGUGAGGGAAAGUGUGCUUCUCAGCCCGAGCUCAAAUGAGCUCUGGUGAACAGUAAAAUCCAAAAAUAAUUAAAAAAAUAUGAAAUUGUUUGGUGAAAGAAAUUGAAAAUAGUCGUAACUGCCUCCAAAAUUGUAUUAUGAAAUAACAUUUAUUGAAGCCAUGGAGAAAACAAAAUCGAUACUCCAAAAUGCUUUUGAAAUUAGUAUUUUCAGAGUAUCGAUUUUGUUUUUUUGCCACAUGUCACACAAAUGUGAUUUUCUGAUGAAAUCUUGCAAGAUAUUAGAACUUUUGCCAAUGUUUAUCACAAAAAAAAAUAGAUUUUUCUGGAUUUUUUUAAUUUAGUUUUGAUUUUACUGUUCAUCAAAGCUCAUUUGAGCUCGGGCUGAGAAACUCCACAUCCCAACGUGAGCGCCUAUUUGGUGUCGUGCUCAUUUCUGGUAGCCGACAAACUGAGUGGUUUUGUGCGUGACGUAAAAGACACAAAACAAUCAGGGCACUUCGAAGGAAUCAACGUUGUGUCCUUUCACAGGGAAUGCGUGAUGCUAGUUGCUGGCCACUCGUGCCAACAAUUUUUGCUAAUAGAAACACAACAACAAUGUGCAGGAAAUUACUGCAGCGGUGAAUUCCAAAUAUUUUCUAAAGUACACAAAUAUUUCAUCAAAUCUGAACGUUUUUUGAAAAAUCACAGUAUUUUUAAGAUGCCCAAUAUUUUUUUUAACUUUUCAGAAUAUUUUAAAUUUCAAACUUUUUUUUUAAAUUGCCAAACAUGUUUUGAAUUUGUGGACAAAACUUUUGAACAGAGAAACAGUUUUACAACAUCUGAAACCUUUUUUGGAACGCAAUAAGUUUUUCCAAAUUUCCAAGCAUUUACAGAAAAUGGAACAUAUAUUGACCAUUUCCAAACAUUUUUCAAAAACAUGAAUACUUUUUGAUUUAUGAACAUCAUUUCAAAACAGGAACAUUUUUUGAUAAUUCUGAACUAUGUUAGAAAAUGCGAACAAUUUUUGGACGUUUGUUGAGAACCCAAUCAUUUUUAGAAGAAAAACAAUUAUUAAAGUUUCAGACAUUUUUUUACUUGUGAAGUAAUGACCAAAGAAAACCAUAAAAUGUAAAACAACCGAAAAUAAGGAAAAAAGGAAAGAAAAAGUUGAAAAAAAUAAAAAUAUGAAUAAUAAAAAAUAAUAAAUUCUGGAAAGCAGUGAAAAAUAAAUCACAAAACGGAGACCAGUUUAUACGUCCUGCUGCUAUAUGACAAAGUAAAAAAUCUAAAAAGAAAAUCCCACAACAAAAGCUAUUUGACAUACCGAGCGUCAUAUAGAAAAUUCAAACAACAACCACCACAGAACGCUGAUACAGAUGACGGGCAGGUGGAUGUUUCUCAGAAUCAGAUUUUGAAGAAUCAUGAGGCGAAAAGAACUGGUGCCUGCAAUCGGCCGUGGCAUGUACACAGGUGCUAGUAAUGAUAUAAAUCACGGAUAUUGAUUUUGAAGGUCGAGCUCCAUGGAGGUCUUUGAAUGCAAAAUUCAAAAUUCAUGAAAAUAUUUUUUUUUUAUAUUUCGAAAAAUUCCGUAACAAAUACAGAGAUAGAUGAAGGCAUAAUACACAAGUGUGUAAAUUUUUAGGACCAAAUACGUUGAAAUAAGGCUGUACAAAAAAGGCAAAUCUGAGGUUGUUUAACACAUGAUACUAUUCAUCCUCUCGGAACAUGAUUUUAUAUUUUUAUACAGGUUGCAUUUCAACGUAUUUCAUCCUUGUUUAGUUUUAUAAUUGUUUUCAAAAAAUCUGAGGAUGAGGCAUAUGUCUCACAUCCUUGUUUAGUUGUAUAAUUGUUGUAAGAUUUUUUUUUUAAUUUUGAACUUUUCAAAAAAUCGGCCUCGGCCAAAACGCCUUUCUCUAUAAAUCGUGAUUUGUAUACUGGUAAGAAGAAUGAAGCAAUGCAUAUUCAACUAAACAAACUACAUAUUGUCUUGAAUUCACUCAUUUGGAAUCUAGCUAGAAAGGGUGCUUUUUAGGUGCCCAGAUUUUUUAAUUUUUUUGAGGGAAGUGACGAGGUUCUUGGGAAGAAAAGAUUUAACAGAUUCAUUGGUUUUCACAAAGAGAGCAAAUCAAUAUGAGCGCAGAAGCAAUCGAGUUUUGCCAUUAUUAAGCAACAACAUGACAUACAUGAUACAACUAGAGGUACAUAUAGCUAAAUUAGCGGAAGCCCUUUGUAUUGGUACUGCUCGCCGAGCUCCGCGAGCAGAUCGUUUUCCGCCUUGAGUAUGUCGCCCAUGUUGUCCAGCAGGAGGUACUUGUCCAGCGAGAAGCCCGACUCCGGCGAGAUGAGCGCCGCGACGUUUCUCAGGAACUCCUCGUCUAAUGGGGCAAGGGGCUCCCACUUUUGUCCCGACGUCAGCAGCGGCUUCUGAGGUCGCCGCCUCACGACCUUCAUUUUCUUCUUCUUCAUCGUCAUCCUCCUCUUCUCCCCUCUUGCGGGCGUCGGCGACUUCGCCCCCGCCUCCGUGUUCUCACACGAUGAACUCGCCAUGAUUCUUCUCCCGUCCUUCUUCCGCUGAGAAGAUUGGUCUGCUCUGCUGGUUUCGCAGACUUGCGUGCUCGCCGGCACCGGUAUAAAUACAGCAAAAAUAAGAGAUCGAUGAUUCAUUUCUUGGCUAGGGGAGCAGUUCGUUGUAUCCGACUCGUAUUCAGUCCACGGUUCCGGUUCCUACUCCCGCAUGGUCGACGCAUCGGUUGGGAUCCUAAUUGGGACGGCCCAAUGGUAGGUUAUUUUAUAGUAUUUUUAUGUAUAUUGUCUAUAAGGACGUUACUGCAUCAAAAAGAAAAGUAUAAUGGCUCUGCAUCUAGUCUAGUUGCUGAAGCGUGUGCGUCGAACAGCUUCCCCAUCGCUUAGUGACAGUUCAUGAAAUCGUGUGCGAUGACCAUUUCUAUGGAUUUUUUUUGCAUGAUAAUAUGUGUCUCAUUUAUAUCAUAAUGAAAAUAAUACAAGACCAUUGUUGUGGAUUAUAACAACACAUAUACACAGCCAAAUACAAACCCUACGGUCUUGGUCACAAUAUAGUGGUACAGGUGUCCAUUAGGACAUAUGUCCGUGUGUUGCAACGGAAAAAAAAUUAAUUUGUAUUUGCAAGCACAACACGUCAUGCUCCGCUACGAAAGAACGCUAGUUACCACAUGACCAAAACGACCAUCGAUGCAUCACUACAUCCAGAGAGUGUCACCACCUGCAGGGAGGCGCACGUCAAAGCCUUCAACAAACGCGGGGACUAUGUUACUCCCUUUGUCAGACAUUAUUAGGCUGGUGGACCACUUAGCCUCAGCCGGACAUUAAUCAUGAAGUGAGCCUUAGCGCAGAUGGUAAAGAUAUCUUCAACGUGACGAUGUGGCGUUGUGGCUCCCUGGCCCAGAUCUUCCCACCAAUGAAUAGUAAAAUCGACAAAAAAUAGAAAAAAUGAUUUUUUUUUUUGGAGUGCAAGAUGUUCCUUUGGGUGAUGUCAAAAACUGCUUGGAGCUGAUUUUUAUUUUUUUUUGCCAGACGCUCCUCGAAUGUCCAAAUACCUCGAAAUUUUGCAGACAUUUUAGCAUCUUAUGAGCCAAAAAGGAUUCAGAUUUUUUUGAUAUUGUGCUUUUCACCGGAUGCAGAUGAGCCGGGGACCAUUUUGAUUAUUAUUAUGGCUAAUCUAGUUUAAAUGUGUCAUUGUUCAUGUAGCCCACAAUCAUUUUUUCUUUUAUUGUUUGAACACACCACGUCCUUCAUUUCUUUUAAAGGUUUCCUUGCAUGUCUGCUCGUCGUGCAGUUCAUUCCUUUUAAUUGUCAUUCCUUUUAAUUGUCCGCUUUUAGCAUCCAUUUUUAACUGUCUUGCUGAUAUUCCAAGCAAACCGCAAGGUAUAUAAACCGGUAGGGAUCUAUCUAAAGAGGCAAGGUGGGUUUAUUUAACAUAAAAUAUUGAUGUCGAGUUAUUUUUAAAAAAACAGCCUCAACUUUAUUAAUUAGAGAUAAUUGUUACAUCGUCUAUUAAAAAAGAUACAAUAUUUUCCAAAGGCUCCUCAAUCCACUCACUCGUAUCAGAACUCUUUGCUAAUCUAGCAAGCUCAUGUGCUACUUCGUUCGCUUCUAGUAAAAAAAAUUCAGAAGCCAUAGAAAAACAAUCCUCAAAGGUUGCAGCCGCCGCUCCCGCAUAGUACCCUCCCUUGUUCAUUGUUUCAAUUACUUCCGAGAAUAUUGAUGUAGAGUUGGUUAGUGCAGUUGCCUUACCCUGGACAUGGAGUAUUGAGUUUAAUCUUCCAUAAAUACAUAUUUUUGUACACGUUGUUCGUGGCCCAUGGCAGACGGCCCAAUAUUGUAGCGAAGCCCAGCAGUGCAGCAACCUGACAUGGUACGAUAGAUGGUGAGGUGUAUGCGUGCUAGCAACGUAAGAAAACGGCCAGGGAGAGGCAAUGUAUGUACAAUAUUUUUAACCAUGGAUUCAAGCUCGUAAAAUUUUGAGACUUUUCCAUAAAACUGUAUGACAGACUAAGAAUACAUAUUUUCUUAAUUAGUAGGUAUAGAUGCGGCAAGUGGAUUGUUUCCUGGUUUUGGGAAGUUUCCAUAAGCUUUUCAGACGGUUUUUCAUUUUUUCUAUUUUGGGGUUUUCCUGUACCAAUCUUGUCUAUUUUUUAUUUUCUACUUAUUUUCAUUUUGCUUUAUUGCAUAUUCUUUUACUUUUUUUCAUUUUCCUUUUUCUAUUUAAUUUUGGCAAAACACGAAUUGUUUCAAUUUUAUGAUACUUUUUUUAAUUGAGGAACUCCUUUUCGAACUCGUUUUUUCAAGUUCAUCAUUAUUAUUUUUUAAAAUUAUCACCUUUUUAAAAAAUAUAUGAACUAUUUUUAAUGUUUGUGAACGCUGUCUCAAAAUUGAUGAACUUUUUUCCUAAAUGCUGAAGUUUAUUUUAAAACUGAUGAACUUAUUUUAAUAUUUGAUGAUCUAAUUUUAAAACCGGAGAAUGUUUUUGCAAAAUAGACGAACUGUUUUUCUAGCAUAUGUACCUUUUGAAAAUUCAUGAACUUUUUUUCAAUUUUUGGGCUUUUUUUAAAAGUUGAUGAGCUUUAUUCAAAAUCGUGAAAUAUUUUCCAUCUAUGUGCAACCUCUUUUUUCAAAAUCAUGAACAUUUUCGAAUUGAUGAACUAUUAACAGAGAUUAUACGCAUGACCUUUUUUGAAUUCGCAAACUUUUUGUUGAAAUAUCUGCAUUCUAUUUGAUUUUCUGAUUAUUAUUUUCAAGCUAGCGAGCGUGCUCGUGGGCUCACCCAUGCUAGCAAUGGUGCGAGCUGGCACUGGCGCAAAACGCGUCAAUUAGGAAGAGCAACUAAUUAAGGAGUACUCGUCCGAGAGCCUCUCGAAGGGUCCAUUGCCACGUGUCGUACUCUUGGUGUUUCCUUUGGAUUUUUUUCUAUACAUAUUUAUGUCUGGAAUUUUGGCUUUAAGAUGAUUUUGUUUUCCGGGUUUUUUUGGCUUUUCCGUUUACCCCCGAUUUUUCUUACAAUUUAGACCCAAAAAUAAGAUUUUAAAGAAAAAUCACAAAAAAAUGCAUUUUCUCUUUCUUUUUUCCUACCCUGAGAGACAUGGAUUUGCUUCUCUUAGAGGCACAUGUGCCUCCUGAAAAAGCAAAAAAAAUGUUUUUUCCUUCCGCGAGGCAAGGUCGUGCCUCUCAGAAAAGAAAAAAGAUCCAUUUUUCCUUUCACGGAAGUACGGAUUUGCUUCCCUGAAAGGCCUAGUCGUGCAUCUUGAAAAAGGAAAAAUGCAUGUUCUCAUGAAGGAAAACAACGUGGUUUUAGUUUGGUUUUUUUGUUUGAUUUUUUCGUGAAAAAAAGUCCAACGAAACAUAUCAACAUGUGGUCUAGUUUUUAAGAUCUCGACGCAUGGAAUCUAACGGCAAAACCAGUUCUAGAUUUGGACGUAGGUUUUGAGAGAUAAAAUGUUUUGAAUAAACAAAUCUGCGAAAAAGGAAAAACCCUUAGGUUGCUACAAGUGACGCACAUGCAGUUGAAGACUUGUCGCACCCUGGGUUGGGGGAGUGAUCUUUGCCAAGAGUAGUUUUCAAUUAGUGAUUUCGCUAAUUAGAAGCUCGCAUCAUCUCCGAUGCGAGCACUAGUGGAUCAGCCCAUGUGCGCUCAUAUGGGUUUUUUGGAGCGGCUUUUGGAAGCUUCUAUGGAGCUGUUUAGACAAAUUUGAAAACCUUUCAUUCAUUUUUUAUGUGUUCACUAUAUAGAUUUACAUGGACUAAAGUAAAAUGUAGAUUUACAUUAUUUUUUCCCUUAGUUUUCUUUGUGUGUUUUUAUUCAUUUUUUGAAUACACAUGGAAUUUUUGGAAAUACAGUUCGAAUAUUUUUUGUUUACAUGUUAUUUCUUUUAUACACGUUGAUGAUUUUUGUAGACACAUUUAAGUGUUUUCCAAAAUAAACAGUAUUGAUUUGUCAAAUGAACAUUGGAUUUCUUAUGAAUAUAAGGUGAACAUUUAUGAAACACCCAUUGAACAUUUAGAAAAAUUCCAUGAACAUUUUUUUCUUAAAGCAUGCAAAACAGUUCUUAAUGUUAGAACAUAUUUUUUAAUGUCAAAGACAUUUUUGUUGAAUGGUACAAAAUAUUAUUUAAAAUUACAAGACCAUUUUUACAUACUAGAAACAGUUGUGGAAAAUGUUAUGACCAUAUUUUUGAAACGGCUGAAUAUUGUUUAAAUUUCAUAAAUAUAUUUAGAAUGGUAUGUCAAAAGUUUAAAAAUAUGUGAAUAUUGUUUCUACAUUGUAUAAAAAAUUUAAAAACUGUCAUGAACAUAUUUCUGAACACAUGAACUAAAUGUCAGGAACAUUUUUCGAAUGGUACAAACAUUUUUAAAAUUGUGGAGACAAUUUAUUACACUACAUGAACAUUUAUUUGAAACACGCAAUGAACAAGGGGUAAGGGACACGUGUCAUGUGCUUUGCUAGCGCAUCGUGGUUGCUGAGUGUCUCAUUCCUUUGUUGUUGAGUUUUGUUUUAGUGCGGAGUGUUUUUACAGUAUACUCGAGAAAGAUCCUACGUUACGAAGGAUGUGUUUGGUAGGCGUUUCUAGCGGGACUGGCUCGUGGACAUUGGCUCAACAAAGUUUGGUUGAGAUAAAACGAUCAUAAAACUAACAUCUGCAUUUAGUUUGGUUGCCGGCAUACAUUCUAAACUGAAUGGGGUGUCAUGAAAGACAUACUAUUUGGUUGUCUGUUUGUGUAUGCGCAAACACAAGGCCUACUAUUUGGCUGCAUGCAACACUUGUUGUGAGAUAACCUCUUCGAUGCGGUGGUGAGGUUACCAUCACAUAGCGGCGUCAGGAAGAACACACAACAUAACAUAGUAGUAAGCAGUUAUAAAUAUUGUGUCACAUUUAAAUAGAUUAGUUUAAAUGCAAAGCAGUUCAAUAUUAAACUAAAGCAACUAGAGCAUAUGAGCGGUUGUCCUAGACGUUCACAACGAAGGCAUCGUCAUGUCUCCCGCACCAGGCCACCACUUUACUGCCAUCGUCAUUGAAGACGAUGACCUUCACCAUGUCGGGAGUCAUCAACUGUGACCAUGAAGCCUAUCUUGAUUUGUUGGACGGCGACGAAGGUGGCCCAAACCUGGUCGAGGGUGACCCUUUCGUUCAACAGACGGACAAUGACCCUCCUAGAGCACUCGGUGUUCGCCUUCAAAUUGAACUCCUGUGGCAUAGACGGGAAGUGCUUCAUGAAGUCGAGUGGCAUAGGUAUGGCCUCGAGUGGCAUGAUUACCUUGCAGAAGUUAUUUGGCUCACCCAUCUCAUGGUAGUGGUCGUAGUUCUGACGCUUGUCGCUGGGGGGCUCCUCCGCGUAUCGUUGUCCGUGACCGGGCUCUGGACAGGCGCCACCUUUGAGGGCGGCACAACAUCCUUGCACUUGUAUUGCUCCUUUGGUGGCACCACCUCAUUGCCCUUGUUCUCCGUGUCGAUUUGCAGUGUGAAGAGGUUCAAACGAUUGGGUCAGGAUUUGCAAUAUGAACAUUGCAUCAUUGUCAUUAACUUAUUGUCGAGAACCCCAUUAUUUACCUAGGCUGAUGGUUACCACUUACCCACCACCUAGUUGUUUGUCUCUCUUCCUCCAACCCAAUGCCAUGAACUCUAAGAACAAGUCUAACCCCAUCCGCAACCCCUUUCCUUGGGGCAUUGGAUGGAGGGCCUUCUUCCUAGGGUGCUCGCUCGAUGACCGCACCAAGUUUGAGAACACCAUGAAAGUGUGUUCAAACUUCAACAGCUUGGAGGAGCAGUACAAAGAGUAGGACGCUAUGGUGAAGAAGGCGAGUCGGAGGAGUUGAAGACGCUGAUCAGUGACCCAAUGAAGGGUUCUAUGUGAGCCGACAUACUUCAUUGAGCCAUGAAUCAAGCCGUCCCCGGCGACGCUGGACAGAGGGAAAACUGAGCCAAGUACAGACAGCAUCGGUGUUCUUAUGACCACGGGGCCGCAACGUACUUCACCACAAAGAUUAUGGUGGUGCCGGUGGAGGAGCAUCAAGAAGUGCUGGCUAUGGAGGUGGAAGAGGAAGAUGCAGUGGCGACGAUUGUGAGGGCGCUGGAGCUAGGACACCUAAGCAUGCCAAUCAAGUUGGACUCCGGCGAGGAAGAAGAUAUGGUGGUGUAGGUCGAGGAGAAGACCAAGGCCAAGGCUACCCACCGCUCCAAUCGCCUCCAGGGUCCUGUGUACUAUGUAAGAUGAACCCUAAUCCCCAUUCCGAUUGUACUCAAUCCUGAUUGGGAACCUCAUAUCUACCCGUAGUCAUGACGAUGUUAUGACCACUCCUAUGGUGUUUACCCCGAUUCCCCAUUCUCCUAACAUGGAUCGAACCUAAACUCGGAUCAAAUGCAAAGUAGUACAUGAGGAGGGGGGAAAGUGCUUACCGCCAUUGCCGAAGUGCUGCUGUGGAUGCCGGUGAAGAGGCCGGAGUCGAUUUGCUGUUCCUCGAUCUGAUGCACGCCAUCGCCGCCGUCGGUGAGAGUAGGGAGAGUGGAAAGAGAGCGGUGAGAAAAGGUAAGGGUAAUGACUGUCGACGCUUCGGGAAACAACGCGGCUUCUCAAGGGUGGCUCCCCUUGUGCAACCCCUGCCGCCCACGUGCAUCGCAGAGGCCUGGCUCGCGAGAAACUACCAAUUCGAACGUGCCUCGCGAGACAUACCCAGACAUGCUUUAAAGUUCGUGACAUGCAGGCCCAACAAUGUAUGUUGACAACCAAUCAGUUUGUUUUCUUUCCACGGGCCUGGUUGGACCUUAUGCGGGCAACCAAACGCAUCCCCAAGUGUUGUUUAUUUGUCGGAAUUUUCUAAGGUACUGGGCAAACGACAUGUGUACUGAGUGCCCAUGAAAUUACACCAGGCAAACUGUAAAAUACUCAGCGUAAUUUUUUUCCUGUAGUUGUACAAUUGGCUGCGCUGCAGUUCCAAAUUUGAUAAAGUUACAAGGUUGGUGUACCAGAAAUUCAUUAUCUACCAAUCAUCAAUAUGUAUGCACAAAACAGUUGCCUGUCUGGGCCUUUGUAUCAACGUCCAUCCAUGUGUAACACGUUCAGCGGAACCGUCUACCAAACGUCUGACAGACACAGACACGUGCAUAUCCUCCAAACCGGGCAGGCUGGUUGCUUGCGCCCUCGUCGCUUUCUUGUCGAACUGGCUCCAUAUAUAGACUAAUGCACACCACAGUUCAAUUUCCAUUUUCGUUUCAGUCAUCGUACAUAUGACUGCAUUAUUCAGCUAACGUUUAAGCAUAGGGAUUUUUAUUUUCAUGUCCCGUCUUUCUUAGUUAUGAUUAGUUUUGCCCCGUUCAUUUAACAUUGCUCACUUUUUUCCCUUCUUUACUCAUCUACGCCUCGUAAAAGAUCAAACGGUGUGUUGACAUUGGGUUAGACCAGGGGCGGUCCUCAGAUUUUGGGGGCCCGGGGCUGGAUUAAAAGCCGGGGCCCUUAAUAUAGACAUAAUAACAAUAACACUGAAUAUACGUACCGGUGAAAUAUAAACACUUAAAUACGUCUAAUACUAAUAUGCAUAUCAAAUGUUUUAAAAAUAUUACCUCAAACAAUAAUUCUGACAUACCUUGAUGCAAAGGCCAUUAUGAUGGCGUCGAUGUUAAUAGCGUCCAAUAAUUUCUUCUCGAUGACAUAAUGUCACCAGACCAUAUAAACACUCUUGGUUCAUCGGUGACCUCACAUAGUUCUUCAAUCAAUAUUUCCAACUUCAGAGAGCUUCUUCCGACCAAUACGAUAGUCACAGGCAUAGUAAAUAGGAUGCAAUAAGCAAUGGAAAUAUCAGGAUAACAGCCAACUUCUAUUGACAUGCUGCAAAUCUCCAUUGCAGAUAUUACAGUCAUAUGGCAGAAUGAAUCCCACAAUUUUUAAUUUAGAAGUAAGAUCAUACUCCCUCCGUUCCUAAAUAUAAGACCUUUUAAAGAUUGCACUAUAAACUAUAUAGGAUGUACAUAGACAUAUUUUAGAAUAUAGAUUCACUCAUUUUGCUCCGUAUGUAGUCUCCUAGUUGAAUCCCUAAAAGGUCUUAUAUUUUAAAACGGAGGGAGUAUAUCUCAACAUCAUGAUACACAAUGCUGACAAAUAACAUUAAUUGUUGAACAAUAUCGAUGUACCGGCGAUGCAUCUACAGAAGCACAAUAAGAAUAUAUGAUAUACGUACCUCGGAUGGCUGAAUCAGCCAUGACGGAAAAUCAAAGCCGGAUUAUAGGACGCCCCGACGAAUUGAAAUCGACGGCGCGCAGCUGAUGAUCUAAAUUAGGAAAGAAAUUAGGUUUGGGAGAAAAGUAGAAAGGAGGGUCGAGCACGCAGUGGCGAACAGACGAUGCGUCGGCGGCCGCUAGGAAUCGCUGCGUCAAUGCGAGAUGGAAUAGGAAGGGAUCAAUCACUCCUAUUUUUUCGUGAAAAAACGGAAGGAACGGUUGCUGCCUUUGUGCCUCGCUGGACUGCUGGGUGCAUGUUUGCCUGCAUGCUACGUGAGGCCCAGUCAACCAACCCGAUAGGUCAUUUUUUUCUGAUCUGUAAAAACAUUAAAUAUGUUUGGACAAAGCCUAUGUACAUACGUGGGGAGGGCCCCCUAAACUUUGGGGGCCGGGGCGGCCGCCCCCCCCUGCCCCUCCCCUCGGCCGGCCCUGCGGUUAGACUACCAACAAUGAAAGUAACAUAGGUGGUAACAUAGAUAUCAUCUAAACAACAAAUGUGAUGUGGCAACUAAUUAAAGAAAAGUAAGAGAAAUUGAAUAACUUAGCAUGUUACUCAUAUUAGGAGUAACAUAGCGGAUACCAAGGCAAGAUGGGUGUAUAGGCUAAUAAAUAAAAGACUCAAUGUUACUACCCCUAUGUUACUAUCCACUAUGGAGGUAGUAACUUAGAUUAGUAACAUAUGUAUGUUACUCCCCAUUGGUCUUUCAGCGGCGUUCAGAGACUCCUUCAUAUUAUUAGACAUAAUUAUGUCUAGAGACACAACACACGAGGCUAUACGUAAAUCACCCUUAGAAUACCAGCGAGCUCUCGUUUAACCUACGGACCCGAUGGGCCAUGUUAAGACUGGUAUGAAUACCAGCAAGCUCGCUGACAAGGAUCCGACGACUCCAUUACCCCUCGCAUCGCUUAGAGAAAAAACCCGAUACAAGUCACCCCCUUGACUUGAUCUGGAAUUAUCUGCGAGAUGCCAUCUAUGCUCUCAUCUAUCAACAAUUUCAACACAUGUUCUGCCGGAGUUUUGGUGCUUGGAAACCAUGAGCAAACCGCUUGUCACUUCUCCCGUGAGAGAGCGUCACCGGCACAGAACACCUCCAAUGGUUUCGUGAUUGCCGAUGGCGGCUGCAGGAUUGGGGGAGGUAGGCUGCUCGGGCUGCGGGGGAUGCGAAUUGAGAGAGAGAGAGAGAGAGAGAGGGAGGGAGAGGGAGAGGAAGAGAGAGAGAGAGAGAUUUCGUCCCCCUUUUUAGGACAAAUGACCCAACCAUCCACUAGCCGGUCCCACAUGUCAGCAUUUCAUGUCAGUCCCAUGCGUCCACGCGUCAACACCGGACGAAGUAACGGUCAACAGUUUUGACCCGACGGUGAGGCAUUGUUUGGCCUUUUGCGAGACGGAGGCGAGUAGAGGAGGGAGAAAAGUGAGUAAUGUUAGACGGACGAGGCAAACUGAGCACAACUAAGUAACGAUGGACGAGGCAACUUACGUAAAACCAGCUACAAUUAUAAUAGCUUUCGAUGUACACCCGUGUGAUCACCAGCCAUCUAACAACCUUUGCCGACAGUUGUCCUUCAUCCACAAAGACAACAUCAUCCAAAUAAUUCACUUGCAAUCCAGGUUUCUCUAUCAUCUCUUUGGACAUUGUGAUAUUUACUAAUUCCCGAUCCAGAGGUCUCAUACGCCAUGGCGAUGUCAUGACCAGUCUAGGAGAAGAAGCACCUCGUAAACUAGAGCGGAACAGAACCUGGGUUUUCUAGGCAUGGCCUCUCGAUAAGAAGUUGAGAAGAUUAUGGCUGAUACAUGGUGAGAUAGGAUGAGGUGUCUACGCUGCCAUACGACAAAACCCUAGUAACAGGGGAUGCUUUAUCUGUGUUAUUUUUUAAUUAAAUCACAUGAAUAAUUGGCCGUGUGUAUGUAAUUCUAUAUUAAUAUAAUAGGACACAAAGAGGCAGGUCCAUAUCAUCUCGGCCAACAAAUCUAAGAUUUGAUGGUUCAUGUUGAGCACCAAGAGACGAAAACCGCUCGCGUCGCCUCCAGGGGGCGACACGGGCGCCCUAGCCGCCGUCGCCCUCGACCUCCCUCCUCCCCCGCUUCCCCGCCGUUGCCGGAGGAGGCCGGCGAGCGAAGCUCGCCCGGCGGACGACGGACGGCGGGCCUUCCUCCCUUCUUCACGAGGGGGUCCUUUGGCUGAGAUGCGACGGCGCCCCUGGGGGUACAACAUGGAGGCGGAGUUGGCGUGCUCGGGCGGCGUGGGAUCCCGGCGGCGCUGCGGGGGCUGGCGGCGGCGGAUCUGGGGUUCCCCACCCCAGAUCGGUUCUCCUCCGGGUGGUCGGGCUCAGGCGCCGUCCAGCGGCCCUAAGCGGUGGUGGACGCGCGCGUUGACUGUCCUCCUUCACAGAUGUGAUUGGAAACGACAGGAGGUGUUGGCGUGCUGCUAGAUCUGAACAAGGUGAUGGCGUCAUCCCCUUCAUCAGGGAUGACGACCAGGUGGUGGGUUCUUGUGGCGUCGCCGGUGGCGGCGGAUCUUGGGAUCCAGUUCCCGGGGACGUCGUGGGAUGUGGUGGCCCGUGCAGGAGAGAUGGGUUCUUCGAACAGAUCUGGGUCAAAGCUUGCUUUCGGCUAUUGCUAAGGUCGGCGAUGGCGGCGCUGUCUACAUCGUUCCCUUCCUGAAGGCAUCGCCGAGGAGAACUUCAGGGCCACUCUCUGCUACCUCCUGGGGUAACCCUAGAUCAGUAGAUCGGAUGACGGCGACGCUCUGGUGUCAUUUCCCCCUUGGGGGCGUCAUUCAUGGUGGUACACACGGGCUCGAGGGACCAUUGGUCGGCAUUUACGAUGGAGCAGCGUUCCUAGUGACACAUCGACGUUGUGGAGUCUCGGCGGCGAGGCGCGGCAAAGUCUCGGCAAUGAAUGCAUGAUGAUGAGCACGCGUAGGGAGGAGGCGUUGUCUGGCGCCGUGGGGGCAUCGAUGGCAGGCCUUGCAAGGUCGAUGCGUCAGUAAUUUUUCUGAAGAUGGAUUGAUGGAAGGCGGCGACGACGACCUAUGAGGGUGCGUCGGACCGUUUGUGCCCCUGACCCGGUAUGUGGCUCUGUCGGGGCCUCCGGCUUUAGAUGUUAGGCUAGGUGAGAGGUCUGGGUAUGUGGCUCACACUUUCUGCACCCCCUUCAUCAUUGUAUAUGAGUAGCGACAGAUGUUGCCAAGAGGACGGCUUCAGACAUACGCUUAACACUCUAGCUAAUUGACCACCAGUAGCACGGGAGAGGUGUUUUGGCUCCCGGGUAUAUGCACUCGGAUGAACAGUACUGCGAAAAAAGUUCUAAUUUUUUUUGUAGAUGAUUGUAUUAGUGUCGCAAAUAUGCAUGACAAUUUUCGUGCGAUAAGGAGCAACGGUGUUUCAUCAGCAAAAAAGACAAAUUUAGGAUGACAUUUUGGGGUAACUUUUGGUGUUCAAUUUGUUUUUCUUGCACAAACCAAAAUGUUUUAUCUUUUUGUCUCAAAAUUUACAAGUAGUAUUUGGAUGUGACAAAGCAUACAAACAAAUUUUGUCUCAUUUUUUUCCAUUUCAAACUUUUUUUUGGCCCCGAAAGCAUAUGCCGGGAGCCGAAUUGCAUUUCCGCCGGUAGCACUAGUUACAUACACACUAGACUCCGCGCAAUCCCAUGAAAUCUGUUUGGCGAUUAACAUACGGCUAAAUAUCAACAUGCAAAUAUUAUCUUACCAAAUGUACCAAAUGUGUAACUAGUAUCUUAAUUCUACUCCCUUCAUAAACUAAUAUAAAAACAUUUAAAAACAAUGCUUUAGUAAUCUAAACGCUUUUAUUUAAUUUACAAAAGGAGUGCUACCUAAUAUCAACAUGCAUUGCACCAACUCCCUUCAAGGUCUAAUGCGUUUUUAGGGUUGCCCUUGACUAUUGAUAAGAUUAAUAAUAUAUGAGAUCUAUGAUAAAGAGUCUUUUCACAUCCGAAUUUGACAAUAUACCUGUAACAUGCAAGUUAUAUAUAUAUAAUUGCUCUAACCCGUGGCCAAAGGAAAUCUUGCAAAAUGUAUCGGAUGAAGGGAGAACAUGAUAAUACCAGUCUAACAAAUAUAUCCUCUCCAAUCGCAAACAUUUAUCCCCUUGGAUCACAACCAUGCAUACCCCUUUUGAGUACUCCCUCCGUCCCAAAAUUAAUGUCGAGCAUGUAGUUCAUUGGGAAUUUUGCAAAAAAAAACCUCGUAUUUACAAAAUCGUCUCAAACAAGCACCUCCACCCCUAUCUUCUUCGUCCGUCCUCGCCCGUGCAUCGCGAGAGGCCGCGCCGUCGAACUGGAAGGGCUCCGCCGCCGUCGCCGCCAAUUACCUCCUCCAUCACCACAACCCAGAUCUGCGCCACCGGAUCUCUUCCCGCUGCAGUUACCUGUCGGCGUCGUUCUCGAGCUCCUGCCGGCGUCGGAACCUUCCGCCACUUCGUCCUCUGGCUCCCAUGCGUCAUCCUCGAGCUCCCGUGCAUCCUCCCCAAGCUCACGCGCAUCCUCGCUGGAAUCUCUACUGCUCCUUCUCCCUUGCAGCCGGUGUGCCUGCUUAUCCCCUGUCACCGGAGGAGCUCCUCUGCACGUACUUGUUGGAAUUAUGCCCUANNNNNNNNNNNNNNNNNNNNNNNNNNNNNNNNNNNNNNNNNNNNNNNNNNNNNNNNNNNNNNNNNNNNNNNNNNNNNNNNNNNNNNNNNNNNNNNNNNNNNNNNNNNNNNNNNNNNNNNNNNNNNNNNNNNNNNNNNNNNNNNNNNNNNNNNNNNNNNNNNNNNNNNNNNNNNNNNNNNNNNNNNNNNNNNNNNNNNNNNNNNNNNNNNNNNNNNNNNNNNNNNNNNNNNNNNNNNNNNNNNNNNNNNNNNNNNNNNNNNNNNNNNNNNNNNNNNNNNNNNNNNNNNNNNNNNNNNNNNNNNNNNNNNNNNNNNNNNNNNNNNNNNNNNNNNNNNNNNNNNNNNNNNNNNNNNNNNNNNNNNNNNNNNNNNNNNNNNNNNNNNNNNNNNNNNNNNNNNNNNNNNNNNNNNNNNNNNNNNNNNNNNNNNNNNNNNNNNNNNNNNNNNNNNNNNNNNNNNNNNNNNNNNNNNNNNNNNNNNNNNNNNNNNNNNNNNNNNNNNNNNNNNNNNNNNNNNNNNNNNNNNNNNNNNNNNNNNNNNNNNNNNNNNNNNNNNNNNNNNNNNNNNNNNNNNNNNNNNNNNNNNNNNNNNNNNNNNNNNNNNNNNNNNNNNNNNNNNNNNNNNNNNNNNNNNNNNNNNNNNNNNNNNNNNNNNNNNNNNNNNNNNNNNNNNNNNNNNNNNNNNNNNNNNNNNNNNNNNNNNNNNNNNNNNNNNNNNNNNNNNNNNNNNNNNNNNNNNNNNNNNNNNNNNNNNNNNNNNNNNNNNNNNNNNNNNNNNNNNNNNNNNNNNNNNNNNNNNNNNNNNNNNNNNNNNNNNNNNNNNNNNNNNNNNNNNNNNNNNNNNNNNNNNNNNNNNNNNNNNNNNNNNNNNNNNNNNNNNNNNNNNNNNNNNNNNNNNNNNNNNNNNNNNNNNNNNNNNNNNNNNNNNNNNNNNNNNNNNNNNNNNNNNNNNNNNNNNNNNNNNNNNNNNNNNNNNNNNNNNNNNNNNNNNNNNNNNNNNNNNNNNNNNNNNNNNNNNNNNNNNNNNNNNNNNNNNNNNNNNNNNNNNNNNNNNNNNNNNNNNNNNNNNNNNNNNNNNNNNNNNNNNNNNNNNNNNNNNNNNNNNNNNNNNNNNNNNNNNNNNNNNNNNNNNNNNNNNNNNNNNNNNNNNNNNNNNNNNNNNNNNNNNNNNNNNNNNNNNNNNNNNNNNNNNNNNNNNNNNNNNNNNNNNNNNNNNNNNNNNNNNNNNNNNNNNNNNNUGUUGGAAUUAUGCCCUAGAGGCAAUAAUAAAUGUGGUUAUUAUUAUAAUUCCUGUAUCAAGAUAAUAGUUUAUUAUCCAUGCUAUAAUUGUAUUGAAUGAAGACUCAUUUACAUGUGUGGAUACAUAGACAAAACACCGUCCCUAGCAUGCCUCUAGUUGGCUAGCCAGUUGGUCAAUGAUAGUCAGUGUCUUCUGAUUAUGAACAAGGUGUUGUUGCUUGAUAACUGGAUCACGUCAUUGGGAGAAUCACGUGAUGGACUAGACCCAAACUAAUAGACGUAGCAUGUUGAUCGUGUCAUUUUGUUGCUACUAUUUUCUGCGUGUCAAGUAUUUAUUCCUAUGACCAUGAGAUCAUAUAACUCACUGACACCGGAGGAAUGCUUUGUGUGUAUCAAACGUCGCAACGUAACUGGGUGACUAUAAAGAUGCUCUACAGGUAUCUCCGAAGGUGUUAGUUGAGUUAGUAUGGAUCAAGACUGGGAUUUGUCACUCCGUGUGACGGAGAGGUAUCUCGGGGCCCACUCGGUAAUACAACAUCACACACAAGCCUUGCAAGCAAUGUAACUUAGUGUAAGUUGCGGGAUCUUGUAUUACGGAACGAGUAAAGAGACUUGCCGGUAAACGAGAUUGAAAUAGGUAUGCGGAUGCUGACGAUCGAAUCUCGGGCAAGUAACAUACCGAAGGACAAAGGGAAUGACAUACGGGAUUAUACGAAUCCUUGGCACUGAGGUUCAAACGAUAAGAUCUUCGUAGAAUAUGUAGGAUCCAAUAUGGGCAUCCAGGUCCCGCUAUUGGAUAUUGACCGAGGAGUCUCUCACGUCAUGUCUACAUAGUUCUCGAACCCGCAGGGUCUGCACACUUAAGGUUCGACGUUGUUUUAUGCAUAUUUGAGUUAUAUGGUUGGUUACCGAAUGUUGUUCGGAGUCUCGGAUGAGAUCACGGACGUCACGAGGGUUUCCGGAAUGGUCCGGAAACGAAGAUUGAUAUAUAGGAUGACCUCAUUUGAUUACCGGAAGGUUUUCGGAGUUACUGGGAAUGUACCGGGAAUGACGAAUGGGUUCCGGGAGUUCACCGGGGGGGGCAACCCACCCCGGGGAAGCCCAUAGGCGUUGGGGGAGGCACACCAGCCCUUAGUGGGCUGGUGGGACAGCCCACAAGUGCUCUAUGCGCCAAGAGAAGAAAAAUCAAGAGGAAAAGGGAAAAAAAAGGAGGAGGUGGGAAAGGAGGAGGACUCCCUCCCACCAAACCUAGUCCAACUCGGUUUGGGGGGGGGAGAGUCCUCCCCCUUGGCUCGGCCGACCCCCUUGAGGGUCCUUGGACCCCAAGGCAAGGCCCCCUCCCUCCCACCUAUAUAUACGGAGGUUUUAGGGCUGAUUUGAGACGACUUUUCCACGGCAGCCCGACCACAUACCUCCACGGUUUUUCCUCUAGAUCGCGUUUCUGCGGAGCUCGGGCGGAGCCCUACUGAGACAAGGUCAUCAUCAACCUCCGGAGCACCGUCACGCUGCCGGAGAACUCUUCUACCUCUCUGUCUCUCUUGCUGGAUCAAGAAGGCCGAGAUCAUCGUCGAGAUGUACGUGUGCUGAACGCGGAGGUGCCGUCCGUUCGGUACUAGAUCGUGGGACUGAUCGCGGGAUUGUUCGCGGGGCGGAUAGAGGGACGUGAGGACGUUCCAAUACAUCAACCGCGUUCUCUAACGCUUCUGUUGUACGGUCUACAAGGGUACGUAGAUCACUCAUCCCCUCUCGUAGAUGGACAUCACCAUGAUAGGUCUUCGUGCGCGUAGGAAAAUUUUUGUUUCCCAUGCGACGUUCCCCAUCAGUACUGCUGCUGGUCAUCUGCCUGAGUUGUUGCUGCUCCUCUGCUGGAGUUGAUGCUCCUCUGCUCGAUCUACUCUGCCGCUGGUGAAGCUCUGCCCGUGGUACUGCUAUUCCUCUGCCCAUUUGCACCUGAAGAAGGUACUGAUGAAACUGUUUGUUGUUUACUGCUACCUAAAACUGCUGUUGUUUGAGAAACUGCAUUGCUUGAGAAACUUGUAAUGUUGUGGUAUCGAAAAUAAUUUUGUGCAAUACUUGUAAUGUUGUGGUAUCAAAAAUAAUUUUGUGGAGUAUCAGAAACAGAGAAGCCUGGUUCAAGGUUUUGCACUGGAAACAGAGCAGUCUGGUUCAAGGUUGUGCACUGGAAACAGAGCAAUCUGGUUCAAGGUUUUGCCUAGAUAAACCAGACCGGAUGAGAGACCAAAUACAUGGGCAAGUAGUCAAAAGAAACACAUAAUUUGCCUAGAAUCUUGUUGUCCUGUGAUGCAAGAAAAUUUCACCAUGUGUAUGUUGUGGAACGCUUACAGUUGCACAAAUCAGACAUAUCAGUAGGUUGGUUCAGGUGUUGGUUCUUGGCCUAUUAACAUAGAAAGCCCCUUUGUAACUACUAGGACAAUCAGCUUGUGUAAAGAUCAUAUUUAGAGACGAAUUGCAAGCAUUAACCUGAUCUUAACAUAUAUAAAUGGAUAUUAAGUUUUCCAUUUUAGGCGAAUACAGAUAGAGGUUUCAACUAGACCUAGUGAGAAAUGGUUCCAUGGUAGCAUUUCUUGUUUGGCUGUCGUAGCUCGAUUACAUAUUGUUUUUACGUGCGUAUAUAUUCUUGUUACAGUACCAUGGUGUACUCAUCUUUUGUCAUUGAUAGCAGGAGUAUGGAUUUGAACAUGAUACCUCAAGAGGAGGAUGAAGGUAUUAAUUUGAAUUGGAUCCCUCAAGAGGAAGAGGCUCAAGGGGGAGAGGAUGGAGGUAUGGAUUUGAACAUGAUGCCUCAAGAGGAAAAGGAUGAUGGUAUUAAUUUGAAUUGGAUCCCUCAAGACGAAGAGGAUCCAGGGGGAGAGGAUGGAGGUAUGGAUUUGAACAUGAUGCCUCAAGAGGAAGAGGAUGAAGGUAUUAAUUUGAAUUGGAUCCCUCAAGAGGAAGAGGCUCAAGAGGAAGAGGAUGAAGUUAUGAAUUGGAUACUUCAAGAAGAAGAAGAAGGUCAAGAAGGUGUACCAGGUAAACAGAAAAGAAAAGAAUUGUCAAAUAAGGAGAGGCAUGCUGUUUACUUUGCUCUGCUAGUAAUCGAGCUCAGAGAUGGAUCUGUUCAACCAAACGACAAGCUGCUAGUAUCAAUCUUGUUGAACAUACAUGUACGAUCUAUUGAGAGAAUCUGGUCGGAGCCAAAAAGCAGAUUGCCGCGGGCCAAGAAGUAGAUGUCUCCAACAAGAAGAAAGGAAGAGUUGGUCGAAAGAGAAAAGAGCUGGAUCUUGCAAGGACCUCAACAAUCCCAUUGAAUAGAAGAAGGACAAUUCGAUCUCUGGCACGGUCUCUCGGUGUGACCCGCUCAACCCUACAUCGGAGGUUCCAGUUAAAUGAGCUCAACCGCAUCACAAACACAGUCAAGACUUACCUCAAACCAGAGAACAAGAUUGCAAGAUUGAAGUUUUGUAUGUCCAUGCUCGAUGACAAUUGGAUCUCAACUUCCCAAGCUAUAUUCAAGCCAAUGACUAAUAUGGUCCAUAUAGAUGAAAAGUGGUUUGACAUGACAAGACUAAAGAACAACUACUAUGUACUUCCAGGAGAGCCUCCACCUGAGCGCACCGUGACAAACAUUAACAUCAUUGGGAAGGUAAUGUUUCUAACGGUUGUGGCCAGAUCUCGAUACAAUUAUGAUGGAGAGCUAACAUUUGACGGGAAGAUUGGUAUUUGGGCAUUCAUCAAAGAGUCUGAGGCAGUGCGAACGAGUCACAAUAGAGCAAGGGGAACGACAGUGCUGAAACCAGUGAAAGUAACGAGACCUGUGUGUAGAGAAUAUCUGAUCAAUAAGGUUAUACCAGCAAUUCAAGAUAAAUGGCCUGACGAUGAUGAGGGAGCAACAAUAUUCAUCCAACAAGAUAAUGCAAAGCCUCGCGUUCUUCCCAACGAUGAAGCUUUUCGAGAAGCUGUGGAAGAAACUGAUCUCGACAUUAAGUUGAUGCAACAACCUCCAAACAGCCCAGAUUUGAACUGUUUGGACCUCUGCUUCCACAAUUCUCUCCAGUCUCUAACCGAUUGUAGGUCACCUACAAACAUCCAGGAACUGAUACAGGGUGUGGAAGAGGAGUUUGAGAAUUAUGAUCCUCACAAGUUGUACAACAGCUUCAUCACAUUGCAAGCAGUUAUGUUUGAAAUUAUGAAAGAUCAAGGAGGAAACCAAUAUAAGUUGCCCCACUUACACAAGGAACGUCUUCAGAAUGACGGCAGAGAAAUAACAAGUGUAUAUUGUGACAGUCAGCUAGUUGCUGAUACUAGGGCCAUUCUAGAAGAAAUGCAAUAGGAAAAGGAAAGGAAGAAAAGAAGUAGUUGUAGAAAGGAAAAAAAGAAUUGAACUUAUCUGAAUUGUACUCCUUGUGUACUCCUUGUACUCCUUGUGUAUGUCUUGUGCAAUAGGAAAAUGCAAUUGGAAUCAUUUGAGAUCAAUGAUGAUACUGGUUAUCCAACAUUUCCAUCUUGUGUAUCGGAAUUCAUUUUAAUUGUUUGGACUAAUUUGUUUGAGUUUAUCUUGAGUUUAUCCAGCAUUUCCAUCUGUAUUGGAGAUCAAUGAUCUUGUGUAUUGGAAGGGUCAUGUACAUGGGGAUGUUGCCUCAAGUUUUAUUAAAUUUAUUGUUUCAGGUUUCAGUAUACAAAGAUUACUGGGGUAUUGUCUAUAGUUUGGAUAAACCAAAUAAAGUUCACAAAUCUUUAUUCCCUUUGUGCAUAAAGUUUACAAAUCCCAAGCAUAGAGUUGGGAUCAACAAAAAAAUUCUAAGCUUACAAAUCGUGAGUGCUUUCAUCUCAAAAAAAUUCUAAGCUUACAAAUCCAGAACUGGUAGCCUUCCUUAUCUCAAUUCUCUGGUACUGAUUUUUGCUCUCUUUUUUUACCUUCCUUCAACAAGUUGUUCCUUGAACUGCAGGUACUCAGGGACAGUCAACUCCUCGUCGUCUGAAUUCUCAAGUACAGUAGUACUAGUAGCUUGGUUCAGGUUGAUUCUCAAUGAUGCCCUGCACUUGACACUAAAGCCUCCAGCCUGCAGAUAUACAAACGAAAUACAGAUACAUGCAUCAGUCUGAACCUGAAGAAGAAGGAAUGCAACCUGUGAAAUGUGUGAAAUGCUCCUACCAACAGACAAUGGAUGGUUUUUUUGUUUUGAUUGGUCUUGCUCUCGGUUUGAAGAUGAAGUGGUGUUAUUUCGCUUACCGUUGAUGUUCAAGUGUAGGCUUUUGCCUGCCCAGCACCUCUUAACCAUGUCAUCUCCUUGCAGUGCGUCUGGUUCAGGCCGAGCUCCGGGAAGCGGCUGCGCAUCAGCGGCAGCAGCGUGUCCGACGUCCCCAGGUACAUGGACUGGAAGUUGGCCUCCUGUUUCUACACGAGCACCCUGAUGAAGAGGUCUUCGGGGAGAGCUGGGGCGACUUGUUGCCAUCUGGUGAGGACGUCCACGGCGCCCUGGUCGACGGACUUCGUGACGCUGAACAUUGUCACUGUCGGGGGACGGGAACGUGCUUCACCUGCCACGAGAGCACGACGCCGAAGCUCUCGCCGACGCCGUUUCCGACGCAGCCGGAGAAGACGGCGGCGGUAGGUGGAGAAAUCAUUGCUUUUUAUGAGGAAGGGGGAAGCUUGGGGAGGCAGGCGAGUCGCAACUGCGGCGGCGGAGCGGCGGGGGACCGGGGGAGCAGGGGAGUUGCGGCAGGCGGAGCUGCAGCGGGCGAGCGGCAGCUGCGGCGGGGGAGUAGGGCAGCUGCGGCGGCGAGGAGCAGGCAAGCUGUAGCGAGCGUAGAUGGGGCAUCUGUCGGAGGAGGAGGACGAGGAGCGCGGGUUUGGUCGGGAGAAGCUGUAGGGGCUUUUCGCAAAAUUACCGUCGCGACAUUAAUUUCGGGACGGAGGGAGUAGCAUCUAAUCCUUCCAAAUAACACAGAACAUACGUGUUGCACGACCCAAAUGGGGCCCGGUCAAUGACAUCAAUCCCAUAUGUCACUCUCUGCUCCUACUACCUCGCUGUCCAUUACUUCAUGGUAAAUCUGGGGACGAGGAGGACAUGGUCGUCUGUCUGGCUCUUCACCUCCCUCGGGAGCAGUGCACUCGACCACGGUUGGACUCUAACCGGUGGAAAUCCAUGGUGUCCGUUCAAAUGUCGUUUGGAUGCGCAGGGAUGAUUGCUCGAGGCGUGCGGGCGCGGCCUCGACGGACACAGUGAUCGCCGUCCAAUUCUAGUAUGAUGAUGCAACCCCUUUGGUGGUGCCUCAUCCCUACGCCCUCGGGCUCGGAGUCGAAGAUCUGCACCGGCAUGAGUUACGGUCCAUCUUCUAACAUGGAGUGGCAUACCCGUCGUGCAAGGCAAAGGCCGCGUGGCGAGACGUAGAUGCUCUAACCACAUCUAGAUGGGAUCACAUCGAUUUAUGAUAUCCCGACUUCCCGAUCAACGAGUCUCCUCUGAUCAAAACCAUGUUACCCUAAUAUGCAUGUAAAAAAGUUAGGCUAAUAUGCGCGUAAAAAAGUUGAUUAACUGCUGCUAAAAUGGUGUGAUGUGAUAAGCCGGCCCUCCCCAACAAGAAAUAAUAACAACUGCCCCCCUAUCUCUCAUAUCCAAUUUAUAUAUGAGCCGGAUAUAGCGAGGACUGGAUGCGUCCGUCAGGUUGUAUCCGGCUCACGCUGGUUCAUCCCGACCCAUAUAUAUCCGUCUCUAUCUCCAACCUGGACGAAACCCUAGCUACUCCACCCCUCUUCUUAGCUCCGUUCCGAUGAUCUCCAGCCAUCUCCGACAUUACAGGCAGCGUCCGACACGGAGUUGGGAUCUCGCCCCAUGCGGGGAUGAGGAGGACAUGGCCGUCCGGCCGGCACUUCGCCGCCCCCGGAAGGAGUGCGCUCGACCACGGUUGGACUCUAUCCGGCAAAAACCCAUGGUGUCCGUUCAAAUCUCGCUUGGAUCCGCAGGGAUGAUGGCUCGAGGCGUCCGGGCGCGGCCUUGCCGGACGCGGUGACCACCAUAAUAUUCUAACUCCGGGAUGGCGAUGCAACCCCUCCGGUUGCGCAUCAUCCCUAACAUGGAGCGGCGUACGCCGUCGUGCGAGGCAUAGGACGCGGGGGCGAGGUGUAGAUGCUCUAACCGCAUCUGGAUGAGAUCACAUCGAUUGAUGAUGUCCGGAUAAACGAGUCUCCUCAGAUCAAAACCGUGUAAUAAUCCUACAAAAUAAAGACAUCGCCCAACGUGUUCCAGAACGCUCUGAAUGAGACCCCGCGAAUGGCAACAACCAUACCAUUUAUGAGCAAGUUUUGUCAGUCCCCCCACCCGGCCAGCCCGUGACAUCGAUGUAGCAGCUUCCGUUCCUAUUUAACCAGCGUACCAUUUGCACUACAUUGCAUCACAGCAAGCACACACACACACACACUCUCUAGAGAAAUGGCGAUGGCUAGGACGACGGCGCUCCUCCUCGUCGCCGCGGCUCUCCUGGCGGCCUCAUCCAGCGCAUGGGAGGUGAACAUCCAGAUGCCGGCGUCGGCGGCCGUGGACGAUGCUGUGGCACCGCUCAUCCACGCGCUGCGGCCGCUCCUGGGCUCCGGCAAGCAAGCCGGCGUGGCGUGCGAUAGCUGGCGGCUGGGCGUGGAGGCGCACAACGUGCGGGACUGGAAGACGGUGCCCGCCAGCUGCGAGGAUUACGUCGGCCACUACAUGGUCGGCGACCACUACCGCCGGGACUCCAAGGUCGUCAUCGACCAGGCCAUCGCCUACGUCGACUCCCUCAAGCUCGCCGGCAACGGCAAGGAGGUCUGGGUCUUCGACGUCGACGAGACCACCCUCUCCAACCUCCCCUACUACGCCAAGCACGGCUUCGGGUACGU
rnacentral:lncRNA from 1 species